AUGGGCAGAGUUUGGCUGCAGGGCUGAAUACAUUGUAUUCUCACUAUGUGUGUGCACAUCCCAGACCCGCCCCAUCAGCCUGCCUUCCCAGCUCUGAGUUACAGAGAUCAGCCCAGCCAUCAGGAAGCCCUUCUAACACUGCAGACAUGGGGACAUUGCUCAAAUUAACUUUAAUCGGGAUCUGCCUGGCCUUCGUCGCUGAGAGGAUAGUACAACUCAGGUAACGUUCCAGCUCUUUUACUUCCAGUAAACUCUCUGUGUUCUUGAAGAAGUUACUUUUUUUUAAAAACAAAGUGUUUGAUCAGAGAGGAUAUUGUGAGAUACAUGAUGUUCUAUACACGUUUUAAUGAGAGCAUAUGAGCCUUAUUGCAGCUAUAGCCAGGUAAUGUGUGUUUUGAAAAUGUUUAUAGAGUAAGUUAUUUUCUGGUAUAGAUCAUUUGACAUGAUUAUUCUUAAUUAAUUGUAUUGGUUGUAUGUUCACAUGUGGCAGGUACUCAGCUGUGUUGCUAUCAAGUUGUCUUUUUAAGGUUAAUAACACUUGGGUUACAGGUAGAGUCAAAAUAAUAUGGACAUGCUUAGCAUCAUAGCUACUACAGCUUAUUGAAGUAGUUAUGGUGCACACAGUUGCGUACCCGGUAUAUUGCCAAACCAUUUAAAUGGGUAUAACAGAUUACUUCACAAAGAAAGUAGAGCUGGUAGUAUGCUGCCAAGCUACUGAAUGCCAGACAUCUAUAUUCCUAGUUUAGAGUUACACAGGCACCUCUACCUGGCAUUAUAGUGAGUGCAUUGCAGUGGGAUCAAGUUUAGGUCAUGUAGGACAGGUAGUUUAGGUAGAGGCAGGUAUUAGUCUGUGUUAACCUGGUUUAAAAUCCAAUAAUAUGAUUGACUAGCAUUUUUUAAAUUUUGUGCAGCACUAUAAUGCUGAAGCUGCAGCAUUUUUGGUGGUUAUGCCUCUUCCCUCAGCUUAGCGAGAUAAGCAUCCCAGAGUUCCCAAUUAUCUAAUGUAGGAUUUAAGUCAGGGGCUAAGGUCGUCUUCAUUUUUUGUGUUGUGGGGCGAAGGCGCAGUAAUGGCAUUCUGGCUCUCAAAGAGGAUUGUAAAAGUUUAAGCUUGGUUUCAAGGUCAUUUUAAGGUGUAUUUAUUCAAGUUUGGGCAUGUUUUUAUUGGUGAAUGGUUACGUACAAUUAAGGAGGCUGCAUUUUUAAUUGGUAGGGUGAGGAGAGAAACCAUGUUAAAACGUCUGUGUGUGAGAUUAGCAGAUACAUUCCACCCAGGCACAGGAAAAGUCCAACUCCCUCACCAUCUACAACUGCUAUCUAACAGACAAAGAACAAAAAAGCAGAUAACCCAGGGCCGAUUCUAGGGUCACAGACGCCUGGGUGCUGAAUUUUUUAUGUCCUGUCCAGACAUGCAUGUUUCUAUGGCAACGACUCACCUCUCCAUGCACAAGCACACACCCCUUUUUUGGUUUAGUGACCAGCCUCCCCACACUGAAAUACCUAUUUGUAACUAGUAAUCGAUUACCUGCUGUUCUAGUGGUCUCCCUCACUGGUGGUCAGGUGGGAUAACAAUAUGGUCUGCAGGUCCAACGUGUACAAAGCAUAUCUGUAGAGAUCCAGUGAUGUCCAGCACUUAAAGUGUCAGAGCGUUGAUGUGGUAACCCAUGGCAACGCUCUGAUUGGUCGAGCUCUCUAACACAUGGUCUGCAGCUCCGCACCCAGAAGAGUUGCAGACCGGAGGCGAUUGGCUCUCUCUUCCCUUGACAAACUGAGGGUAGGGCCAACAGGGCGAGCCACUGGGGCCACUCCCGGUGUUGUACACCCUUCUCCCUCAGCUCCAUGGCAUCUGGGCACGGUGCACCCGCCCUGGAUUGGAACUGACGUCUCCCCCUUCAAAGCCCCCUCGCAGUACUUGAGACAAAGACAUGGUCCAGUAGAGUAUUUUUACUGCAGUUAGCAAGACUAUAUAAAGAAAAAUCUCAGAAAAUGUCAAUCAAUCACAAUCAAGGGAUCAUGGCAAUUUUUUACAGUAAUGCCUCUCAAACCUUUUUAAAUAAAAGCUACAGCCAUUAUAUCAAUGUAGAGUCUCUUUGUGUUUAAAUGUGUAUGUCUAUCUUCAUUUUAAUAAUUUAUGUAUUGUCCAUGCAACAGACACAAAUGUUGAAGUUAGUCUGUUGUAUGCUGGGUAUAGCCUAUGAAUGGCUGUAGGUGGUAUUAAUAUUAUGCUGUCAGUCUGUGAAUGUUGUGGUCAGUGUAUGUAUGCUGAAGGGCUGUAGUGUGUGUAUAGCGCCUGCAGAGUGUGUUUGUAUUGUGGUUACAUUGUGUGUGUAGCAAGGAACUGUAGUGUGUAUGUAUGUAUAUGAACGUUGUAUUGUCUGUGCCUUUUUGAGAUUUUAAUAUCCAGUAAAACUAUUAAGAGUUCAUUGUUUUUAACAGAAUGCGGUCUACAAGUUCUAGAACAGGCUUCCCCAAACUCCAGCCCUCCUGAUGUUGCUGAACUACUAUACUUCAAGUGGUUACUUUGCUAUGUGGCUUUGUAGUUGUGAUAAUCCUAGUACAGGUGACCUGCUACAUAGAAAGGAAAGUUCAAGGUUAAAGGACCACUAUAGGCACCCAGACCACUUCAGCUUAAUGAAGUGAUCUGGGUUCCUGGUCCAGCUAGGGUUAACCCUUUUUUUUUUUAAUAAACAUAGCAGUUUCAGAGAAACUGCUAUGUUUACACUGAGGGUUAAUCCAGCCUCUAAAGCCUCUAAAGCCUCUAGUGGCUGUCUCAUUGACAGCCGCUAGAGGCGCUUGCGUGCUUCUCACUGUGAAAAUCACAGUGAGAAGACGCCAGCGUCCAUAGGAAAGCAUUACGAAUGACGAUGACGUCGCUAUGGAGGAGGAGAGGAGGAGGAAAGCUCCCCGCCCGGCGCUGGAGAAAGGUAAGUGUUUAACCCCUUCCUCUCCCCAGAGCUCGGCGGGAGGGGGACCCUGAGGGUGGGGGCACCCUCAGGGCACUAUAGUGCCAGGAAAACGAGUAUGUUUUCCUGGCACUAUAGUGGUCCUUUAAUUAUGUUGGAGACAUUGCAAACUGUGAAUAUUAUCUUCAUUGCUAUCAUAACAAUAAUAACAAAAACAUGUGGUUGAGUACAGUUACUGCAGUGUAAUUCUCACUACAUUAAAAUAACAUAACAUAAAAUAUAUUUACUUGUAACAAUCAAGUGUUUCUAUUUUAAGGUAGCUUUAGAGCCUCACUUUUCUAUAAAAAAGCACGUGAAGUCGCCUUUAUUCCAGUGCCAAGGCAGUCUCCUCUAUCAAACAUGGACUGCCAACCAUAGGGUGUAUGUGCCGCAAUCACCAGUGUAAUACCUCUCAUAGAGAAACAUUAAAUCCCAUCAUUCUAGAGAGACAGACAAAAUGAGGACCAAUACACAAAAGUGGCAAAAACCAGCCCUGAUAAAAAAUGUCUCCCUUACUGGCCCACAGGCACUUCGAUGCGGCCUGCAGAAGAGAUAGGAUGGGAGGAGCCGGAAGGCAGAAAUUCGGAGCAUUGCCGCAGGUUACCACGGCAAUGCUCUGAAGAUCUCGCGGGAGGACUAAACUCUGCCAGCAUCCAGAGGAGCCUCAGGGAGGGUAGAGCUGCUCACCCCCACCGAACCACCAGGGCAAUGUUCCCCCUCCCCGAGGAAAAGAGAAGAAGAGGGUACAAAACUCUCAAUUACUCCUAUAACCCACCCCACUAAUAUAUAGGCACACACAACACCCCUCACACACACGUCAGUGUUUUUUUAUCUGUAUGUUUGUAUAUCAUUGCAUCUGUGUGCAUGUACAUCUGUACCUAUAUGGAUGUCAUUGUUUGCAUCUGUGUAUCUGCAGGUGUGUGUUUGUGUAUCUGUAUCUAUAUGUGUGUCUGCAUGUCUGACAGUUUAUGUAGCAGGGGGAGCCUAGGUCAGAGGAGAAGCAGGGAGAGUCUGGGGCAGAGGAAAAACAGAGAAAAGGGGGACAUGGGACAGAGAAAAACGUAUAAAUUUGCAAUAAAUGCAACUAUAAUAAUUACAAACAUUUUGUUAAUGGGAGGGGUACAAUUUAUGGAUUUAGGCUGCCAAAGGGGUACUUAAGUGCAAAAAGAUUGGAAACCACUGUCCUACGGGAUUGGCUGGGAGAGGUGUGCCCAAAAGAAGGAAUGGCUAUCCUGAUAAACAUGUCUAUGCUUGUUUUACUAUGUUAAUUUAGUUUACUUUCCAUUCAAUCAAUGACUAGUUUCGAUAGCAACGUAUACUAGCCUAUUUCUAAUGUAUAUCUAUUGUUUAUUUGUUUGAUUAGCCUCUUAAUAAAUAUUAUUGAAUUGCCAAAAGCAAGGAGUGUGGACUCUGACUUUACACUCAAUUUUUAAAUUAUUAUUAUUAUUUUUUAUUAAUUUUAUUAUUAAUUCCAAGUUUACUCCAACCAGCGAGUAAAGUUUACUUCAGGAAGUACGUUUUAGAUUAAAUUUUUUUAAGGGGGUUGUACAGCAAGGGUGACUAUGAACAUUGAUUUACUUAUAUAUUGAUUACUUAUAUAUUGAUUACUUAUAUAUUGAUUUUCAAUUAACCCAACACCCAGUAAAUAAAUGUUUCUUAUAAAGUGGCCACUAUCAAAUUAUUUAUAAAGUGUUAGAAUGAAUACGUAUGUGUGUGUGUGUGUAUAUAUAUAUAAAUAAUUGAGAUUUUCAUUUUUAAUAUUUAAUUUUCAGUUAUUUACUUGAGAAUAUUUUAGCUUUUGUAAUUUAAAUAAAUAUUCAGUAGUAUUAAAUAUUAUAGUUAAACAACAGCAUUUUGUUCUACAAAACAGAUUUUUUUUUCUUGUUAAUGUUUCCCUCCCCAUUUCUUUAUUUAGCCAUCGAUUGAACUUUUCACGAGAGGUUGAACCCAUAGACCUUCCCAACUGUCAGUUAUUGAAAGGAAUUGGUAUGUAUCUUAUUCUUAGACUUAAAGGGGCUCUCAAACCACAUAGAGAACUGAUAUACAUUACAGUUUAAAGGGAAUCUUUGGUGGCCUAAUUCUUGUAAAAUACAAUGUAAUUAUAGUCACUCGGAGGUCUUGAUGUUUGCAUUAUUUUGCUUUUUUUGUCUGUUGUAUCCUGUUAUAAAAUCUUUGCAUACAUAUUGUAAAAUAAAUUAAAGGGACAUAACCUGCAUGACUUAAAGGAUCACUAUAGGGUCAGGAACACAAACAUGUAUUCCUGACCCUAUAGUGUUAACACCACCAUCUAGCCCCCCUGGGCCCCUCAUGCCUCCAUAAAUAUAGUAAAAAUCUAACUGUAUUCAAGCCUGAAGCUGUAAAUCUGCAUGCUGUUAGACUCAGAAAAACAAGCAGUCUGCUGACAUGUGGUAGUGCUUAUGGAAGGCUGUGCAAGUCACAUGCAGGGAGGUGUAACUAGGGUUCAUAAACAAAGGGAUUUAACUCCUAAAUGGCAGAGGAUUGAGCAGUAAGGCUGCAGGGGCAUGUUCUAUACACCAAAACUGCUUCAUUAAGCUAAAGUUGUUCAGGUGACUAUAGUGUCCCUUUAAAGCUAAAACUUUGUACAAUUUGGCAUGCUGAGAUUACAAUUUUAAUAGUAGUCGCAGAAUCCAUAUAAAAUAUUUAAAAAAAGGGUUAAUCCUAUCUGGACCUGGCACCCAGACCACUUCAUUAAGCUGAAGUGGUCUGGGUGCCUAUAGUGGUCCUUUAAAGUUAUGAUACGGUAUGUGGUGUUGCAGUUUCGAGAGGGGUAUAUGGUAUGCUUAUUUAACAGGUUAAAACAUGUCUCUCGAAUGGUGUGACUAUACUAUCCUGAACAUGCUAGGUGAGUAUACCCCUUAGCUUGUAGUGUCCAAAAGAUAUAUCGCUAUAACCAUUUGGUCGUACAAAAGUCCCCUGGGGUUUCCCAGGUGUGAGUCCCUCUCCGGGUAAGUUGGCGUAAGGGGAUCGUGUUCCCAGGAUCAUGAUGUGGCAUUGUGAGACGUGUCAGGUCCCCCUGCUCCUGGACCAUGGUGUCGAUGGGUCCCUGGCGGUUAACCCGAUGCCGCAUUGGGGCUGUGCAGAGCAUCGUUGUGGAUUCUCGUGGGACUCCACUGUGGUGUGGUGAGUGCACGGGUGUAGCUGGGUAAACGGGUGUAGCUGGGGUCGGUUAGUAAUGCCGCUGGGCCUAAGUAGGGUCGCCCUCCGGGUGGUGAGUGGACGGGGUGAGCCAGUGCUUGGUUUCUGUUGCUUCACUGCCCUACGUGGGUGAGGUGCAGGCUUGUUCCUCCUCCGCCUCUGUACAGUGUGAGGCCCUGUCAAGGCUGCAGGCUGGUGCUGAGGGUUAGGAGGCUGCUGUCUGGGUGGACAGUUUGAGAUGAGUGGACCUGGAGCCCCUUGUUGUAGUCUAAGCUCUAGCUUGAGCCAGAAAUAUUGGAAGAUUUUAUCUAUGUUGAACGAGGGGUGUCUUAAUGUCUCGUGGCUGACUGGUGGCCGCAUGGUCUCCGCCAUCUUAGGUGGGCCCUUCGGCUCUCCCCAGUUAUUUUUGCCGUGUUGGGGGGGACCCUCAGGGGUGGACCGGGAUCACCCCUGCAGGUCCAGAAGGGGGGUUGCGGGUAUCUGCUUGUGGCAGUUGGUUUCCAUGUGGCUCCAGGCUGGGAGAUCGGCAGCCUCUCCCGUCCGGUGCGCGCCAGGCCGCAUGCCCUUGCGGGUAUAGUCUGCUGUCUGCUGUCCCCUCAUGGGCCGCAUCACCGGUUCGCCAUUAAGGUAGAGGGCUGUUAUGUCGCUUGGGGUCGUGUGCUGCUGUUUUUUGUGGUUUAGAGGUGCCAUUUUAGCCAUUUUUACAAGGAUUUGUGUGGAGCUUCAGUUAGGCACGUCUUCCCUCCAUGACAGUCAGGCCCCGCCCCCCACAAAAGCAUUUUUAAAUGUACAUUUAAAGGGCGAUGAGCAGCGCCUGGCAGGGUAAUGUUCUGACCAUGGUUGCUGUUUUGACAGACUAGAGAGUAGCAGAGUCAGCAAGGCAAAAGCCAGUUCUAGAAUAUUAUCUGUGGUCUGGUUAAUAAAAUGGUUAGUUCCUUUAAUGAGGCCACAAUUAUCUCCACACUUCAUGAACUCCAUGGAGAUGCAGGAGCUCAGUCAGCUGAUGGUCGAGUUGGAGGGAUGAUUUAGUUGGUGGUCUGGUAAACUCAGAUUUGAAAUCCAGAAAAGGAUCUGGAGUACAGUUCAUGUUCCUACAUACGAUCAAUCUGCAUCUUUUCAUAGUGUCAAUUUUUGUAAAACUCUUAGAUAAAAAACAAAUUUGAUUCUCAUUAGGUGCAUGGAUAGAUACUAUUGUAAUAGGCUCGCUAUUGAUCAAAUCCUCCACUAAUCUUAGAGGACCCUGAGGAUCCACAAAUUUGUUAUGUUAUGUUAAAAUGACCCAUCCUUAUAGAAAAGGACCCCUUUGUGUUUUUGUGGGGGAAUAUGGUUUGGGUAAUAAGGUUUGGACAAGUGGAGAAGAAAGUUCGGUGGGGUGACGCUUUAGAAAUGUGUUUCCCGUCUGUCCUGGUCAUUUAGCUCAGUGGAGCUAAACCAAAGAGGCAGGUAUUCACCUAGAAACAACUCUCACUGAGCUGCAUUGGAAAGUCUGUGAUGGGAUAUCAAUAAAUAUUUCGAUAUAUAUCUACCAGUUUAUAAAAAAAAAUCAUGAAUUAAAAAUAAAAUCAAAGUCAAAAAUCCUAGUUGCUCAUAUUACAAUAUUUGUGAAUGCUUUGCAUUGGAUUGUCAAAUAGUUACAUAUACCCGCUGCCUUUAUUCCAUCUGUUUAACCCCUUAAGGACCAAACUUCUGGAAUAAAAGGGAAUCAUGACAUGUCACGUGUCCUUAAGGGGUGAAUGAAACUGAUACAAUUAAGGAUAAGAGUUGGUAGAGCAGGAAAUGUAGAUCAAAACUACACCUGUUCCUGAACGACCUUCUGGAGCCGUCCUAAUAUUAAUAAUAUUAUGCUGGUUCCUUGCUCAUUUCUGCCCUCCAUGGAGGUAAACUCUGGUCAGCUAAAGUUAAAUAUGCUCAGCUCAGCCAGACUGUCAGCAUGCUAUUAUGUUGGACAUACCAGAGGCAUUCCACAGAUUGCCCCGUCAAUGUCUGUUAUUUCUGCUGUCUGUAUACUGGUUAUCCAAAACAAGACUGCAAUCAUUUAUCAUUGUCUGUUACUUUCUGAGAAACAUUUUAUGUAUUGGGUUUCCAAAAAAGAAAAUUUACUUUGGUGUUAGAUCUAUCGCUCUAUCUCUUUAUCAUUAUUUGUCAUCAAGUAUGGUUUUUUUGUUUUUUUUAAUGAUAUCUUUAAUUUGCACUUUAUAUAAUAUGGAUGUGUGCUGAUCCUACUGUUUGUGAGUGUGCAUUAUACUUAGCAGAGGAUAUUCUGCGUGCACUGAAGAUUAGAGGGGCAUCACUUACUGAGCCUAGAAAUGAAUAACCCUUUUCAUCACACUCUGUAUAUGUGUUAGCUUUUUGUUAUCACAGAAGGAAGACUGUUUAGGUGGGUCUGAGUGCUGUCCUUUCCAGACCUUCACUUCCACACUCCUCGAAUGCAAUAUCACUCACACUUCCUGUAACUUCCCAUUUAACAUUAUGAUGAGCAUGUUUACUAUCAGAUGUUCAGAGACCAUUUUUGUUACAAAAGGAAACAUAGAAACAUAGAAUGUGACGGCAGAUAAGAACCAUUCGGCCCAUCUAGUCUGCCCAAUUUUCUAAAUACUUUCAUUAGUCCCUGGCCUUAUCUUAUAGUUAGGAUAAAAGGAGUCAUGGCUGGUGACAAAUAUUUGUUAAUUUGCCUUUAUUAAUCAAAUGAGGAUUACAAGAAUGUGUUUCUGUCUGCUUGCAUUGUAGACCAUCAUUCCCACAUGUAUCAGUAUUCCUGGACAGAACUCAGAUACAAUAUUCAACUUCCUUUAGGUCUCUUUGCUGCCUCCUUCAUAAGCACUUCACACCUGGACCCACCACAGAAUAUUAAUGGCAUUCAUCUGCAUGCACACUAUAUAAUGCAAGGAUGGUUAUGUGCUAUAGAUUAGUUGCCUAGGUUGUGUGACUCUAGCUGCUAUCACAGGACUGAGAUUGUCUGAGCAAGUAGAUUCUUCUCAUUGUUUUAUAAUUAUUAAACAAAUUGUUCUGCAACUCCUCAGAUGGCCACUGGAGGUGCUUCCUGGCUCAGUGCUGCACAGUAGGCAGCACUGCUGUUCAGCGUCCCCACUCUCUGCAUGGGGACGCAGAAUUUUCCUCAUAGAGAUGCAUUGAUUCAAUGCAUCUCUAUGAGGAGGUGCUGAUUGGCCAAAAUGGCAUUUGGUCCCACCCCGUGCCGAUUUUAGCCAAUCCAAUGCUUUCCCCAUGGCCCAAUGGGAAAGCAUUGGAUUGGCUAAAAAUUGGCAAAUCUGAUGGUGUCACCAAUGGUGUAGGGCCAGUGCCGACAGACCCACACGGCGCUGGAAAUUAGGUGAGUGUUUCAUGCUUUUAAGGGGGGUAAGGUGGGGGGCAAGCCACCUUAAUGAUGGAUUUAGCACUAUAGGGUCAGGAAUACAUGUUUGUGUUCCUGACCCUAUAGUGUUCCUUUAAUAUUCCUUUCCUCUCCCAUGUCACUUUCACACUGAUUCCACGUUUGUUAUUCACCUGUUGUACCCAUAUGCCUAGACUGCCAUAAAAAGAAAUGAUGCAUCUCUAUUGGGCUAGUUUCAGUAAAUAAAAAGGGUUCAUUUAAUGAUGUAUAUUAUUGAAUGAUCUCUGUAGUUAGGCUGUUUGUGGGGGGAUAAAUGCAUAUUGAGAUAGAUGCAUUCGUUCAGUGCCAUCCCAAAAAACAAUAAACAGUGCCAAUUUGAUAGCUAUGCCAAAGUAUAAAACAGAUCUAAGCUUUGUUAAAAAAUGUUGUCACCAGUUUUGUACUGUACAUUAUGUUUCCAUGUGAUCUUAAAAGCUGCCAUGUGAGAGUAAAUAGUUACUGGCUAUCACUGAAUGGUUGCUAUUGUGCCCCUUUUCAGGUCUAUAAAUCUCAUCAACACUAGAACAGAUAGGUAAAAAUAAGAUUAAAGUGCUUGUGCUUUGUAUUAGGUUCAGUGUCUAAAAUUGGGGACCCCUAACUCAAGAGAGGAGAUGGAAGGGUAGAAUCCUUACAGCCAUGCUAUGUUAGCCACAAUCUAUUGGUUAGACAAGAGAAUGUAAGGUAGGGGUUGUCGUUAUAGUAACACUAUAGUGUCCACUUCCCCGUCCCCCUUGCACUCACCACUGAAGACCCAGUUGUGCUGGCUCCACCUCCUCAGGCAUCAGAGCUGAGGGGUAACCUAAUGUGCAUGGACGCUCAUUAGGCCUUCGCCCUACUAAAGCAUUGAAUCAGAUGCACAGCGUGAGGACGUUCAUGCAGUUAAAUUCUGUUAAAGUGUAGGAAGCACCUAUAGUGGCUGUCUGGUAGACAGCCACUAGAUGCAGUCUUAGCACUGCUAUAUAAACAUUACAAUUUCUCUGAAACUGUAAUGUUUUAGAAUGCAGGGUUAAAGGGAUCCUAUAGUGCCAGGAAAACAAACCCACGGCGCUGGGUCAGGCUCCGUCUACGCUCCUCCUGACGUCAGCGGAGGAGACCUAAUGCGCAUGCGUGGCAAUGGUUGCGUGUUUGACCUCUCCAUAUGAAAGCAUUAUUCAAUGCUUUCUUAUUGGGAAAAUCUGAUGCUGGAGGUCCAUGAGGACGUCCAGCAUGAGAUAACCGACCAAAGGACGGUUUGGAUUCCGGAAGCCCUCUAGUGGCUGUCUGUUAGACAGCCACAGUGGGCAGACUUAGAGCUGCAAUAUAAACAUUGAAGAACUGUGGAACUGUAAUGUUUUACAUUUCAGCACUAAAUGCAAUAGGGAAAAAGCACCCAGACCACUUCGAUUAGCUAGAGUGGUCUGUGUGCCUACAGUGUCCCUUUAAGCGGACAGGGGCACUGUACGCGGACCACUUCAAUGAGAUGAAGUGGUCUGAGUGCCUAUAAUGUCCCUUUAACUUAAUCCUCACUGCACAACAGUUGUGGGAAAAGGGAAAUUUAAGUUUUGUCACACCUACUCAUUUAUUUAUGUAUAUAUUUUUAUUUAGUGUAUUUUUUCGUGCCUUGGGUGCGGAUGCUCUAACAAUUUUUCAUAAUGAACCUGGUGUCAACUGGAAUCAAUUGGGCAGUGUUAGAUGGUGGAACAUAUAUGACUCUGUAACCUAACGUUAGUCAGGGGACUACUAAAAAUGUAGAUGGUCCCUCUAAACCAAGUCAAAUAAAUCAUUCUUAAAGCGGCACUGUCAUCCCCCUGAAAAUCAAGUAUUUUAUAAAGACAGACUCUUUAUGAAAUACUCGUUUUGACGGUGUUGGAUUUUCACCUAAAUUCCAGCCCAGUCAAGAGAUAUACAGAGACAAAGUAUAGACUACUUUGUCUCUGUAUUUCUCCUCCACCAUCUUGCAAGAUCCCCCGUAGACCUCAGUGCUAUACUCCCUGCGCGAGAGUACAGCUGUGACUUAGACUCGAAACGGAGCAGUAUGAGAAAGAUGACGGCACCGACAAUAGACUGGUUCAGGUAAGUAAUCUCACCUUUACCUGACCCUGUGGCCACUGGAUCAUCAGCGGCGAUGUCAGUAGCAGGUGACUUUGCGAAUUCGUCAAAGUCCCCAGACUGUGACAAUGCCACUUUAACUUAGACUUUAGUGGAAUGACGCCUGUAAGUCUAUCUCAUUUUAACUUAACCUGGUGCUCAUUCAGAACAAGCUGGCCCUUGUUGCUAACCAUUAAAUGUAACCACAUAAAAUUGAGUUUACAGAGCCAAUGCAGCUUUCUGUUUUCAACAUCAUUUUGUGAUGUAAUAUUGCCCUAUACGUCGCAUUUUGUCAUUGUUUUGCGGUUACUCCGGUAUUGGUUGUUUUUUUGAGCAUUACUCUGGCAUGACAUGUUAGAAGGGGUCAUGCUCACUGCUAUACGGAGAGUGUAGGCUAUCAUUUGUAAGUCAUUUUUUGUAUGUAGAAUUUUGACUGGUAUUACAAUAGAAUCAAUUGGUUGUAAGUAUCUAGACAUGGUAUGAUAUGUAUGUAACCUUUAUAAGAGGUACAGUAUUAGCUGAAAUUAGAAUAAGAUUAGGAUGGAAGUAAAAUAUUGUCCACAUUAAAGGACCACUAUAGGCACCCAGACCACUUCAGCUGUUUAUAGCCUGUCCCUGCAGGCUUUUUAAUGUAAACACUGCAUUUUAAAAGAAAAUUGGGUCCUAGUAACACCUCUAGUGACAGUCACUCAAAAGCCACUAGAGGUGCUUCCUGGGUCAGUGCUGCACAGUGUUGCAUGCUCUGGGUAAUUCAGGCAUCAAUAUCAAUAUUUCCUGACUUGUAAAUAUUGUCUGGCUUCAGUUUCUAUUUAAAUUCAGUGUAUGUUUAGGAUAUAAACUUAUGUGGUUGUGAUAUGUUCUAACUUACAGAGCUUGGAUCAGAGGAUAUUGAGAUUCUACCCAAUGGACUGGCAUUUAUCAGUUCUGUAAGUAUUGAGACAUUACCGUGUGAUCAUUUCAGUUUGUCUAUGGUGAGGAUAAUACAGGGAAAAUGCAUACAACCAACUAUUUUUGUAAUCCAUUAAAUGGGAAACAAUUCCAAAAAAUGUAAAUACAUGCCCUUGUGGAAAGUGUGGAGCCUGUAGAUGAACCAGUGGUCAGAGGUCAUCAGUGAAAGCCUAAAGUGUUCUGUAGGCAACAAUUAUACACUUCCACCAGGAAGGCUAUUAGCAGAAUGAGAUAUAGCCCAAUUUAAAGGAACACCUUACUGGUUAUGGCACCAGAAGUGCCCUGGCAUCCAAUAGUAAGUAAUCAAACCACUUAGAACUUGAUACUCUCUGGGAUUAGCUCAGUAGAGCUAGCAGAAACUCCUGUUCAUGAGCUUCCGACUCUCUGAAGGCCAUAGAGGAGGCAAAGAGCAGCACCCCGCAUGUCCCAGGUAAGAAGAUAAACCAUUCUGAAACAGUUUGCUUACAAUGGGUGAUGUCUGGGUACCCCUGGCACCAUAACACACUGUAGUGGUUAUGGUGCUUGGAGUUUUCCCAUAAAUCUACCUGACCUUGUGAUAUAUAUAAAUAUGCUCACGAAAAACCAUAAAUGAUACCAAAAUAAAUGCCAUAUACUUAUCACAGAUGGCAGUCUAUAAUUUGUAUAAGCCACUUUCCUCGAAUUUAGAAAACCGCUUUUAUCAGAUUUAGAUAUUCUCUUAUUCAAAUAUGGGAGAAUUUGGCAUCUUACUUUGUUUGCGGCAAGCACUUUCCUUGUAGGAUCCCCCAGCCAGGAACGUCACCCCAGGAAAAGUACAGAGUUUGUUUCAAGAAAGGAGUUAGCAGGGACUAGCUAUAUACAGGGAGUGCAGAAUUAUUAGGCAAAUGAGUAUUUUGACCACAUCAUCCUCUUUAUGCAUGUUGUCUUACUCCAAGCUGUAUAGGCUCAAAAGCCUACUACCAAUUAAGCAUAUUAGGUGAUGUGCAUCUCUGUAAUGAGAAGGGGUGUGGUCUAAUGACAUCAACACCCUAUAUCAGGUGUGCAUAAUUAUUAGGCAACUUCCUUUCCUUUGGCAAAAUGGGUCAAAAGAUGGACUUGACAGGCUCAGAAAAGUAAAAAAUAGUGAGAUAUCUUGCAGAGGGAUGCAGCACUCUUAAAAUUGCAAAACUUCUGAAGCGUGAUCAUCGAACAAUCAAGCGUUUCAUUCAAAAUAGUCAACAGGGUCGCAAGAAGCGUGUGGAAAAACCAAGGCGCAAAAUAACUGCCCAUGAACUGAGAAAAGUCAAGCGUGCAGCUGCCACGAUGCCACUUGCCACCAGUGUGGCCAUAAUUCAGAGCUGCAACAUCACUGGAGUGCCCAAAAGCACAAGGUGUGCAAUACUCAGAGACAUGGCCAAGGUAAGAAAGGCUGAAAGACGACCACCACUGAACAAGACACACAAGCUGAAACGUCAAGACUGGGCAAAGAAAUAUCUCAAGACUGAUUUUUCUAAGGUUUUAUGGACUGAUGAAAUGAGAGUGAGUCUUGAUGGGCCAGAUGGAUGGGCCCGUGGCUGGAUUGGUAAAGGGCAGAGAGCUCCAGUCCGACUCAGGCGCCAGCAAGGUGGAGGUGGAGUACUGGUUUGGGCUGGUAUCAUCAAAGAUGAGCUUGUGGGGCCUUUCCGGGUUGAGGAUGGAGUCAAGCUCAACUCCCAGUCCUACUGCCAGUUCCUGGAAGACACCUUCUUCAAGCAGUGGUACAGGAAGAAGUCUGCAUCCUUCAAGAAAAACAUGAUUUUCAUGCAGGACAAUGCUCCAUCACACGCGUCCAAGUACUCCACAGCGUGGCUGGCAAGAAAGGGUAUAAAGAAGAAAAUCUAAUGACAUGGCCUCCUUGUUCACCUGAUCUGAACCCCAUUGAGAACCUGUGGUCCAUCAUCAAAUGUGAGAUUUACAAGGAGGGAAAACAGUACACCUCUCUGAACAGUGUCUGGGAGGCUGUGGUUGCUGCUGCACGCAAUUUUGAUGGUGAACAGAUCAAAACACUGACAGAAUCCAUGGAUGGCAGGCUUUUGAGUGUCCUUGCAAAGAAAGGUGGCUAUAUUGGUCACUGAUUUGUUUUUGUUUUGAAUGUCAGAAAUGUAUAUUUGUGAAUGUUGAGAUGUUAUAUUGGUUUCACUGGUAAUAAUAAAUAAUUGAAAUGGGUAUAUAUUUGUUUUUUGUUAAGUUGCCUAAUAAUUAUGCACAGUAAUAGUCACCUGCACACACAGAUAUCCCCCUAACAUAGCUAUAACUAAAAACAAACUAAAAACUACUUCCAAAAAUAUUCAGCUUUGAUAUUAAUGAGUUUUUUGGGUUCAUUGAGAACAUGGUUGUUGUUCAAUAAUAAAAUGAAUCCUCAAAAAUACAACUUGCCUAAUAAUUCUGCACUCCCUGUACAUGUUUGUCCUUUAUGCACAUGUCUACCAUACAGAGGUAAACUACUGAGUCAAAAGAUUCACCAGUUAUUCUGGAUUCCUGACCUCAGCUUCUCCUGGAUUUAUUGGUUUGUUAUACUGACUACUCUGAUUUCUGAAUACCCUGACCUUAGCCUUUCCUUGUUUAUGUAAUGCUAAGCCACUAUAGGUUCAUGAUAAAAUGGCUACAUCAAACUACUCAAAUACAACAUAUAGAAUUUCCAAAUUUAAAAUGGGGCAUAUAAUAAAUUUGGCCUUGUAACUUCCAUAAAUACAAAAAUGUGAAAACUCGUACAUCUGAACAUGGUUAUAUUCUUGAGACUAUAUUGAAUAUUGAAAUAUUGGGACACAUAUCAGGAUUAUGACAUUUUCUGUGAAAAUGAAAUUCUUGCGUGUGAAAAACAAAUGAAAAUAUAGAAACUAAAGGGCGCCUGCAUUUCAUAAAGUGCAUACUCUAAACAACUCAAAAUACCCCUAUUAGAAUAAUACGGGUUGUCUAUUUUAGGAAAUAACAUGCCAUCAAGAGGAAAAUAUUAUUUCCAGGGCUUCCUUAUUGUCUCAAAGAUAAUAAUAAAGUGAUCUGGGUGCAAUACCCCUGUCCUUUUAACCCUUUAAUAUAAAAAAAUACAGUUUUUUAGAAAGUGCAGUGUUUACAUUACAGGGUUAAAUCCACCUCUCAAGCUGGCUGCCUUCCUGACAGCCACUAGAGGUGUCUCUGCUGCACUGGCUGAUUGAAACUUGGUCACAUGAUGAAUACAGUGCUUUUCUAUGUGGAAGCUUGGAUAUAUGCUUGGCGCUUGCUGCACAUCAGGUCCCCCAAUGCUCCUCUACGAGGAGCAUUGGAUUUGACCAUUGCCGAGGUCAUCAAUGACAUUGCAAAAUCCUAGGACAUGUGCUUGUUGUGAAUGUGCCUUGUGCGCUUUUUCACUAUCUGCACUUCCUUUAGACUAAGUGGCGCACGCCUGACAACCCAGGCAGAAAGUCCACAGAUUUGAAUUUGCGAGCCCUAUAUUUAACCCUAUAAUAUUCUAAAUUCCCAUAAAACCUGUAUAUAUGGAAUACUGACGUAAAAACAGUUAAACAUGACGAUAUCAUUAGUGAAAGUGCAGAUUUUGUGUGAAAAAUGCAAAAAACAAAUAUGAAUGCUAAAUCUGGCCAAAGGUUAUGACUAAAUGGCUACUAAAAAAUACUGGGCAUACCCCAUUUGAAUACCCUGGGUUGUCUACUUUUUCAAAUGGUAUGCCAUGAUGGGGUAAUUCACAUUCCUGAGCUGCCAUACGGUCUCAAAGGCAAAAUGCCCAAUCUGGCAAAUUUCAAUAUGUAAAAACUAAAAAGGGCAAGUCUUAUAUUUGACCCGUAAUUUUCUAAAACGCCAUAAAACCUGGACAUGGGGAUACUGUUUUACUCAUGAGACAUUGCUGAACACAAAUAUGAGUGUUUAAGAGCAGUGAAAUGUAUAAUGCAGCUGAUAUUACUGUUGUACUCGCAAUACAUCGCUAAACACAAAUGUAUGUGUUUUAUUGCAGUAAAAGCUAACAGUAUUUUGACAAUCACAUUUAAAAUAUCAUGCAGAAGUAAGAAAAUAACACAUUUUCUUAAUAUUUCUCACUUUUUUAGAUUGUAUUUAUAUAAAAUUACGUUUCAUAAAUGAAUAUUUGAUAUGAAAUGAAAGCCCUGUUUCUCCUGGAAAAAAAAGAUAUAUAAUAAGUGUGGGAGCACUUAAUAUGAAAGAGGUAAAUUAUGGUUGGACAAACAUAUAGCACAAAUUCCAUUUUUUGUUUUGAUUAGAACUUGUACGAUUGCCUUCAUCCUUAAGGACAGAUUUUUAAAGGCAUAGUCUCAGCAUCUGUUAUUUAUUAUUUGUAUUAUUAUGAAAAAAGAAAUAUUGUAACCAAUCCAAAAUCCACACCGAAGAGUUAUAUUGCGAUAUUUUCGGAUGUUCCAUGCAGACUGUGCAAUAUUUAGGCAAUUCUGACUGCACAGAUCAAAUGUCAAGAACAACUCUUGAAAUUAAUUAAAAAUCUGUGAUGUACCUUUUAUUUUUUUAGGGUCUAAAAUAUCCUGGUCUGAUAAGCUUUGCACCUGAAAAACCUGGAGAAAUAUUUCUAUUGGAUCUUAAUGAAGAAAAUCUGCGUCCAAGCUCAUUGCGUUUCAGUAGAGGGUUUGAUAUCUCCACAUUUAAUCCUCACGGUAUCAGCACUUACAUUGAUGAAAAAGGUAAGUUGCUCCUACUUAAAAAAUAUUUCAAUGAGAACAAACCAUUGCUAUUUAUUACAGUUCCCAAAGUAGCAAUGUAUUCAGACUACUCUUAAAGCUGUAUUGGUGAUGCAAAGCAAUAUUAAAGGACAAUAUAAACACCAUAACCACUACAUAAUAUUGUAGGGAUUGGUUAUGGUGGUGAUAGGCUCCAGGAUUAACAAGCAUAUCACAGGCAUCAGCAGCCCAGACAGAUGAAUAAUUCUGGUGAAAAUUGUAAUUUUGGAUUAGCAAUAUCAGACCCAUCUAUAUUUGCAGACAUUGAUUGGCUGAGCCCGUCAGCUGAUGGGAGUGAACAAAGGGAUGGUGCUAACAGUCAAAAAAGCACCAUAACCACUACAACAGUAUGAGUUGUAUAUGGUGAUUAGAAUGAAGCAAUAGAGACAAAAAGAGAGACAUGCCUGUGGAACAAAGAAACAAAAAAGGACAACAAGCAUUCAUAAAAAAAUAUUCUGCUUCUUGACCAAUUCUCACAUUUUACUGAAAACAUUCCAUAUGCUAAACUUUUCUUCUGUGUGAUAGUUCAUCUCAAAAAACAUUUAAACUCAAUGGUAAUUUUUUUAAGGUGAUUUUGAUUUUAUGUUGAAAAAACUUUCAAGAAAAAUAUUAAAGGGACACUACAGUCAUCAGAACAACUAAGGCAUAUUGUAUUUGUUCUAGAAAGUUCUAGAAAGUAUAAUCAGACCCUGCAGGCAUUUUCAUGUAAAAACUGCCUUUUUUAGACAAAAAGCAGUGUUUACAUUGCCCCCUAGGGACACCUCCAGUGGGCAAUCCUCAGAUUGCUACUGGAGGUGCUUCCUGCAGCUGUGAUGCACAGUGUGCAGAACUGCCGUUUAGCAUCUUCACUCUCUGCAUGGAGACACUAAACUUGUAUCAUUGCGAUGUAUUAAUUCACUGCUGAUUGGCCAAGCCUUCAUUUUGCCCCCUCAUUCUGCCUCCUUGCCGAUUUCAGCCAAUCCAAUGCUCUUCCUAAGGGAAAGCAUUGGGUUGGCUGAAAUCAUAGAUUCUGAUAAUGUCAGCAAGGAGGCAGAUCAGAGGCACUGGAAAUAAGGUAAGUUUUAUUACAUUUUAAUGGGGGCUAAGGUCGGGCAAGCCACCUAAAUAGUGGUUUUAACACUAUAGGGUCAGGAAUACAUGUAUGUGUUCUUGACCCUAUAGUGUUCCUUUAAACUAAAAUAUGCAGUUUGCACAUAUAUUUAACUGCAUAUUUUAGUUUUGGCAAUACGAUUACCUAUUAGCCUUUACAUAUGAGCUAUAGAUCACUGGUGGUCAGGCUGCAGAUCUGAAAGAAAACUGUGACAAUGAACAAGAAAGAGCAUUGUACAUCCAUAAGGGAGUACACAGACUACAUCAGUUAAGACAAAGUAAUAGCAAAGAGUUUGGAAAUCCCAUUUAGACACUGCUUAGACAAGGUGAUUCUCAAACAUGGAAGGAGGAGACUUGUGAGGGGAGCCAAGAAAAGACCACCAGUCGCUUUAAAGGUCAAUGACCGAGACUGGGGUCAAUGUGCACAUUUCAAGAGCUCUGCUUUACGGCAGGGUGUAAAGAAAUAAACCAUUCGUUUUUAGAAAAGUAUUUAGAAAAUUGGGCAGACGUUCUAUGUUUCAUUAUGAAAGCAGGUAUGGAGUUUGCUAAAAACACAAGACUGACUUUUCUAAGAAGGAAACGUUUUGUGUUCCGUUGAGACCAAGAUUGCACUUUUAAAAAAAUAAAUAAAUUAUUUUUGCAGUGCUUAGAUUUAACACACACGCUUGUAUCACCACGAUAGCAAGUACAAGCCGAUGGAACAAUGCUUAUUUUACAAUAUCAUGGCAAUUAUUAACAGCACUUUCUUUUUCUUUUUUUUUAUGUAAAGCUUAAUAAAACAGUAUAGUGGAGUUAUAGUUUACUAACAGUUAAAUCACUCUGCAAUGGCAUUUGGAGGGAUCAUACAGCUAUAGCCUCAUAGAUAAGCCUAUGUUCAGUAUGUGAAGUAGAGAUAUCACAGGAAAACCCUUAACAGCCCUUUUCUUGUGUAACGCUUAAUACACAGUAUAGUGAAGUUAUAGUUGACUAACAGUUAAUACACUCUGCAGUGGCAUUCGGAGAGGUCAUACAGUUGUAGUCUGAUAGAUAAUCUUAUGUUCAGUAUGUAAAGUAGAAAUAACAUACAAAUUUCUUAUGUACUGGCAUUAAUCUGAUAAGUGAAGAAUGGCGCUGCAGAAACCCUAAACCUAUACCAGAGAGAGAGACAGCGUGAUUUAUGAGAAGAGUGACAGCAGGUCACGAAAAACAAAGGCAUAAGGCUUAUGCUGAAUAGAUGCUAUUUGCGGUGCUAUAAUGUAGUGCAGUAAUAGCUGGAUCGUAAGUGUCUACGUGUGAGAGAGUGUAGGAGAUUCACAAGAAAAAGGCAUCAGACACGGAGGGUACAAAAUAGCAUGGUUGAGUAAGUAGGCAAGUAAGCAAAUGACCACUGGAAGUGAGCAGAAUCCUUUACGAAAAUCAGACUCUGUGUAAGGGUAUGUGGGGAGGAAAGGCUGCUAGGUACAAAUUGUCUGCAACGUGUUACAGAGCAUAGUAAGUUUUAAACUGCGAGCUAUUUACGUGCAGCUGCUGUCUCUUGUUAAGUCCAUUUUUAAUGGGGCUGCGAGUGUCUCUGUGCUUGUGUGUCAUAAUUGGUCUCCUUAGACCCUGGUCCGAUGACCCAGUUAUUUAGCCCGAAAAAAAUAGUUACGGCGCACUCAGACUUCUAAAAAUACAUAACUAAGAAGGCUACUAUAAAACGCCUAUCUAAGAGAAUAAAUAUGGGGAUUUAGAUCCACCUUAUGGCCAUAUGAUGUUAAGCCCACCACUGCUUCAAAGUACCCCAAUGUUAGUGGGUCCUAUGCUAAUUACAAAAUGUGGGAGACAUAUUAAAUAGUACUGGUGCUAAAAAUAAAGCUACAGUGUAUUAAAUUAAUUUCUUUGUAAGAGCAAAAUGACUAUACGAAAAUACAGAGUGAUAAAAGCAAUUAAAAACAGUGUAACAACUAAUCAAUUAAAGUGUUGGUGCUUGAAUGAGUAUACUCACAUUUGCAGAUAAUAUCUGUGCUUCAUGAAGAAAAUAAUAAAAGUGACAUGACUAUAAAACUCCUCCUAUUUAUACACACACCUGUGGCCACCUCUAAAGAGGCCUCAGAAGCUGGGGUGCCUGGGUCUGGAUUCCAAAUAUGCUUGCACAGAGAAGAGAUUGGGGGCACACCCGAAAGAUGCAUUAUGCAAGAAAAGUGCUGCCGCAGUCACCAAAAUUCAUACAGAAAAAAAUAGUUACGGCGCACUCAGACUUCUAAAAAUACAUAACUAAGAAGGCUACUAUAAAACUAUCUAAGAGAAUAAAUGUGGGGAUUUAGUUCCACCAUAUGGCCAUAUGAUGUUAAGCCCACCACAGCUUCAAAGUACCCCAUGGCAGCCCCCAAGAUUGCACUUUUUGGCUACCGCAAUGUGUAGCACAGAUGAAAUACUGCCCAUACCUCAAGAAACCCUGUACCUAUGGUGAUGGCACGAUCAUGCUGUAGAGGUACUCUUCAUCAGCAGGUUUGAGAAUCUUAUAAGAAUUGGUGGAGGUGUGAAUGAGGCAAAAUACAUGGCAGUACAUCAGGAGAACCACUUUUGCGGUCUGCUAAAAAUGUGAAAGUUCACUUCUCAGCAGGACAAUAAUCCCAAGCACAAGGCGUAAGCAAUUUUGGAAUGAACAGAAAGAUGAUUAUCCUGAAGUGGUCCAAUAGAAAUUCUUAUCUCAGUCCUACUGGGAAUCUGUGGCAGUAUUUUAAAAUUGCAGUCCACAAGUGCCACCCAACCAACCUAAACCUCAUGGGGAAACUCUGUCAAAAAUAAUGGGCAAAAUUACUCCCAGACAGUGUUUUUUUUAAUGCAAUCAAUAUUUAGGCAAAACUAAAAUGAGCAUAUGAUUACACAUUGAAAGGAUCUGGAUUGCCUAAUUUUGCCACCAUCCAAAGUUACUGAUAAAUUCAAAUUGAGUAGACUUGCGGUUAGGACAUACAGGGGGGAACAGAAGGACCACCACUGACGCGUUUCAUGCCUACUGACACUUUAUCAGAGACUAUAAGACUAUAACACAUCAGUCAGCUGUUAUCAGACCUGUAAAUUGACUUAAUAGUAUUGUAGCUGACAGUAUUGUGGUUAAUGUUCAUUUAAUUUACUGCAUGAUUCCAAUUGAUUUUUUAUUUUUUUUUCCUUUAAGAUGACACGGUAUACCUGUUUGUGGUUAAUCAUCCACAAUACAAAACCACCAUUGAGAUCUUUAAAUUUGAAGAAGAGGAAAAUGUACUUACGCACCUGAAAACGAUUAAGCAUGACCUGCUUCCUAAGUAUUAUAUUUUUUAUUACAAUUUAUAUAGCAGUAACAUAUUCCACAGCUGUUUAUAUUGUUUAGCAAUGAUCCUCCAGACUCAAAAUUAUCUAGUAGUACAUACCAGGGGCUCUUUCAUGAAAUGUCAGCUUGUAUUGAAUUGAAAACCAUAUUGCAAAAUUUAACCUAAAUUAUCAAAACUGACUAAAGCGAGUAAUCAUUUUUUUUUCCCCCAUCAGAUAUUUUUUGCCUACUUUUUUUCGUUACGACUUUGGUUCACUAACAUUUAGUGAAUAAACAUCACCAGUGUUAUCCACGUAUUUUUCAGCCGCUAUAAUAUGUUCUCUUUGGUACUGUAUUCCUUUAAUAGUGAACUUUCAUUCUGCUCUACAACACCCCAGUGUUGCUUGUAAUAACGUAUUCCAACAGAGCCCUCGGUGUAUACCUCCAGCUCUCCUGGUAGUGCUGGCAAAUUUGGGAAUGAACUCUUAAUUUUUCCGUUCUCAUUCUGCCGUGCUCUAUUGACCAUAUGUCUAACUAACUCACAGAGCGUAAAUGGCUUUAAAAUACGGUGUGUGCUAGUUAAACAACAGUGUUGCAAAGAUUCCAAAAAUAAAGUUCUCGCAGUAAUUGUGAGUGACAUAGAGACUUGGGCAAGCAUAAUCACUGUCCUUAUUCAUCAGAAUUUCCAACCACCUUCUUCAUUAAGAAAAUAACUCUAUGAUCUGAACAUAUCCUCAAAAGGGUUUUUGCUCUCCCCCAUACUAUACCAAUUGUAUAUGGUGGCCAGCAUUUCUGCCAAAAAAUUAGAUACAAGCACAGCAUCAAAAUCCCAAACAAUGAAAGGUAUAACAGACAUUUCAAUACUUGGUAGAUCAAGCUGAACACAAAUACGGGGAUAUUAGUGUGGUAGAAUAAAUCAUGUUUGUAAAAAUGUUGUGUCUGUGUAUGUUAAAAACAGAAUUUUACCUGAAAAGAUUGGCAAUGGAAAGAGACCGGCAAUAAAAUGGGUGCAUUAAAAGUGUCUAAAGUUCAAUAGAUAAAUAUUUUAGUAUGCUUUCUUUAAUAAGCAAAUUAAUGUAUUAAUACAUUCCCAGUUUUAUUUAACACAGUGACAAUUUUUGACAAUUCAAAGUGAAUAUCAAAUUCAAUGCCCAUAUAGACAAAUUGGAAAAAUCCUCAAAUCCUUAAAUUUGAGACUUUACAUUGAAUUCCUGACAACCUCUUUUAAACUUACAUAUCUAACUUAUCAAAAUCUGACAACUUUAAAGGGACACUAUAGUCACCAAAACAACUUUAGCUUAUUGAAGCAGUGUGGGUGUAUAGUUAAUGCAUCCGCAGUCUCACUGCUCAAUUCACUGCUAUUCAGGAGUUAAAUCACUUAUGUUUCUGUUUAUGCAGCCCUAACCACACCUCCCUUGGCUGUGACUGACACAGCCUGCAUGAAACAAAUGGUUUCAUAUUCAAUCAGAGGUUAACUCACUUUAGAAGUUUUUCUCUCCUGCUCUUUAAAUUGAACUUUACUUGCAUACAGGAGGCUCCUGUAGGGUCUAGCAAGCCAUUAACAGUGCAGGAGAUAGCAAAUUAUAAAUUAAAGGUAAUUUACAAUAAAGGAAGUGCAAACAUUAGAUGACUCUUUACAGGAAGUGUUUAAGAAGGCUGUGUAAUUCACAUACAGGCAGGUAGGACCAGGGGAACAUAAACAAAGUGAUUUAACUCCUAAAUGGGAAUAAGUGAGAAGUGUGGGAGUGCGGGAGCAUGAUCUAUACUCAGAAACUGCUUCAGUAACCCCUUAGUGACCAGGCCAUUUUUCAGUUUUAUUACCGUUAAGGACCAGGGCUCUUUUUACAUUUCUGCAGUGGUUGUGUUUAGAUGUAAUUUGCCUCUUACACAUUUAUUGUACCCAUACAUAUUAUAUACCAUUUUUCUCGCCAUUAAAUGUUCAUUCUAAAGAUACCAUUAUUUUCAUCAUAUCAUAUAAUUUACUAGAAUAAAAAAAGUUAAAUAUGAUGAAAAAUUGAAAAAUAAAACACAGCUGGCCAUCAUGCACCCAUGUCCCAGUUCGAACAUUUCUGAAGCCGGCCAAUGUAAUUCACCCCUGUCAAACCAUAUGUUUUUCAAAAGUACACACCCUAGGGCAUUUCACAUGGUGGCAUUUCAACACUUUACAUGCACUAAUUCUACCACCAGUCUCUGUCAAACGUUUUUUUUGUGUUAUUUUUCACUCACACAUUCUACUUUGGGCAUUGAUUCUAAGCUCCUGUUAGGUGUUACUGCCAAAGGACACCCCAAUAUGUGCUCGGCAACAUCUCCCGAGUACAGCGAUACCACCCAUGCAUACUUGUGUCGGGUUCACUGGGGGGUGCAAAGCAAAAUGUCUGAUAUGCUUUUUUCAAAUUUUACAUAUCUUGUUUGCCUAUCUUCCUUUUGGGGGCCUUAUCAGAUAUCCCAAUGUAUUUUCUUGCCAUGAGCGUGCAUAUAUUUGAAAAGUUGACAACCAGCAGUAUUGUAUAUUGAGUGUUUUGAUGCCUUAGAUGCAAUCAUUUUAGUCAAAAAAAGUUGAAGAACGUGUGUGGAGGUAAUGGUUCAAUCCUCAUUUUUACACACGCACACUGCUUUUUGACUGUGAUUUAGGAGAGCCUGUUGUUGGUUAUUGCAAGAAAACACCCCUGGUUGUUUUCUGCAAAGCCUCCUUAGGACACCCAUGCCCCCCAUGCAUAGGUUUGCCAGGAUUUUGGGAAGGUACGGUUACAAUUGUAUGACUUUCAAUUUGAGUUGAAAUUGAGAGUAUUUCUUCUGAUAGGCCUAUCUUUAGCUUGGGGCUUAUCACAUAACCAGUUUUAUAUAUCGCCAUGAAAGGGUACAUACUUGAAACGUAGACACCCCGAGGUAUUGCAUGUGGAGUGCUUUGAUGCAACUUUUUUUUAGCCAGACAAAAAAUAAAAAAAGUUGAAGAACGUGUGUGGAGGUAACUGUUCAAUCCUCAUUUUUACACACGCACACUGCUUUUUGACUGUGAUUUAGGAGAGCCUGUUGUUGGUUAUUGCAAGAAAACACCCCAGGUUGUUUUCUGCCAGGCCUCCUAAGGACACCCAUGCCCCCCAUGCACGGGGUAAAUGUAACAAAACAAACAAACAAAAAAAAAGACCCCCCAAAAAAAACUGAACGGCAAAAUAAAAAAUAAAUAAAAAAUGGACCACCGUGUGGUAUAGUUUGAAGCAGUCUCCAAUGCAGAGUCCAGGCUGUCCAGGGCAAUCAGGACAGUGAUAUACAAUAUCUUUUCUCUGCCCCCUCUUAGAACAGACCCUGCAUCUUUUUGGGGGAUUCUGCUUUGCCGCAGUAGGGGGAAUUUUAAAAAUAAAAUGUGUACCCCCCAACUCUGCUCUCUCCCAUCACUGCCUGGGGAGCAGGUGCAUCACGGUACAAAAUCCCCGAAAUGAUCUGGAGCUGAAACUGUAAAAAUCUCAGUUGCGUCCUGGGGUUUGCUUUUUUGAACAACAAGAAAGCGUUGUGGGUUGCAAUCUGCAUUAGGUAGAUUGCAACCUUUUUGUACCAGGCCCUUGUCUUUCGUAUAAUUAGGUACAGCUGCAGCAGCUGAUCUGCCAGAUCAACCCCACCCAUGUGCCGGUUAUAGACCUUGAUGCACACUGGCUUCCUCGUUCUCUCAGCUCUGCCACGUACAGGGACCUCCACAGUCCCCUCAGUGUGGAUGGUGGUAAGAAGGUACACAUCCUUCUUGUCUCUGUACUUAACUGCCAACAGCUCCUCUUGGUGCAGAGCUGAGGUCUCCCCCCUUCGUAGCUGGGUGCGUGCAAAUUGUCCUGGGACACCUGUGCUGUUCUUUUUGAUUGUGCCGCAAGCUACUGUAUCAAAACAGUACAGUAGCUUGAACAAAGGGACACUUUUAUAAAAAUUGUCAGUAUACAAGUGGUACCCUUUGUUCAUCAGGGGGAAUAUCAGGUCCCAGACAAUCUUGCCACUGGUUCCCAUAUGUUCUGGGCAACCUGGAGGGUCAAGGUGGCUAUCCUUUCCCUCGAACACCCAGAAGGCCUGAGUAUUACUAGUCUCGCUCUCACAGAGCUUAUACAUCUUUACACCAUACCUAGAGUGCUUGGAAGGAACAUACUGCUUGAAUCCCAGCCUUCCCUUAUACUUCAUCAGGGAUUCAUCCACGCAUAUAUUCCUUCCAGGUGUAUAAGGCUCUGCAAACCUGGCAGCGAAGUGGAUAAUCAGGGGGCGGAUUUUAUACAGCCUUUCAAACUGGGGAUGCUCCCUAAGGAAUCAUUUCAUACCUCUUCCUCAACAUACAUUGGGAGUAAAUGGAGGUAGAGCAGAUGGGGCUACUGCUCCAGUAGGAGCGGAUGGAGGGCUUCUUUAUGAUGCCCAUCAGUAUAGUCAAUGCCCAUAAUCUUUUAAAUUCUGGCACAUCGAUGGGGGCCCAUUGCUGCUUUGCCAAAAAAGAGUCAGGAUUUGUAGCUCGGAAUUGAUGGGCAUAUAAAUUAGUUUGGGCGACAAUGUUCCCCAAUUCAUCAUCGCCCAGAAACACCUCCAUAAACUGCUGAGGGCUAAAUCCUGUGACAUCCAAAUUAAUGCCGGGAUUUGCAGUGAAGGGUGGGAUAUUUGGCCUCUGGCGAUGAGGCACUACCCACUCCUCAGCAGUUCUGCCAGCUGGAGCAGCACGUCUCCUUCUGGCAGGGGGACUAGCAGGCACAGAUACAACAUCACUAGAUACAUCACUAGCAGCAGACACUGAAUCUAGUGAUGAUGUAUCUGAGCACCUGGAAGGGUCAAAAUCAGGGUCAGAGUCUGACAUAGACGUGUCAGACUCUAGCGCAAGGGUGGCAUAUGACUGCUCAGCGCUGGUUGAUUUCCGUGACCGAUGUGACAUGAUCACAAUCACUUUACUUAGUGACCUGUCACAAAAAAAAAGACAAAAAAAUUAACCCCUAAAAAAAAUGAACAGACAGCAAAAUAAGUGCUGCUGUGCAAGAGCCUGUGAUCUGUACAGUGAUCACUGGCAGGACAGGGGUUAAUCGUUCUGAAAAGAGCUUUUGGGUCUCAAAAAAAAAAGAUCACAAAAAAAUGAACACCUAAAAAAAAUGCACAAACAGCAGAAAAGUGCUGCUGUGCAAGAGCCAGUGAUUAUAGUGAUCACUGGCAAGACAGGGGUUAAUGGCUCUGAAAAGAGCCUUUGGGUCUCAAGAUUUUACAAAUCCCUACCUAUAAAUACCUAAAUCUCUCUAGCUAAACCACAGAUCUCUCUCCCUCUCUCUCUAAAACACAAGUGAAGAGAGGGAGGCAGAUCCACACUAAUCAGAGAAAUGGGGAACACACUUGGGAUGAAAUUGCUAAUGGGGCAAGCUGUGAUUGCAUGACCCCAGCCUGCCCCUUAUGAUGCGGCAUGCUAGGGACACCCCCAGAAGCCCCAUGAUUCACUGCCUUUAGAAAGGGAGGGGGAGCGGGUUAAUAUUGAUAAUUUUAUUUAUUUUAUAUUUAUUUUUUUAUAUAUAUUAUUAUAUAUGCACUGAGUGCCAGGACCCCUCGAGGCACUCAGCACAUGCAGAGCAUCACUGCAAUACUAUCAGAGCUUCCAGCGCUCAAAAUAGCUGCGGACGUACCAGGUACGUCCAAGGUCAUUGUGGACCGUUUUUUGCCAGACGUACCUGAUACGUCCGCGGUCGGGAAGGGGUUAAACUAAAGUUGUUUUGGUGGCUACAGUGUCCCUUUAAGUUUCUUAAACAGGAUUACACUGUUUUGGUAUAUGACCUGUGAUGGUGAACAAUAUGUUUUGGUAUUCCCAAAAUCAAAACUAAUAAACCUAUUGUCACAUACUUUUCUUUAUAAGCACUAGUUGUCUACAAAUCAUAAUAGGCAAAACAAGAAUUUUUAAAUUAUUUUUUAAAUUCCCCUUUUUCCAUUAUUAUCCAAGCAAAAUGAUAAGCUGAGCUGCAGGGUUGAAACAAAGGGGUACAUUGCAUCCAAACCACUUCACUGAGCUGAUGUGGUCUUGGUGCCUAUAGUGUUCCUUUAACAACUGACCACUCUAAGGCAUCUUAUUUUCCCUUGCAGUGUUAACAAUAUUGUGGCUCUGGGACCUGAGAGCUUUUAUGCCACCAACGAUUAUUAUUUCUCCGAUUUCACUCUGAGACACCUGGAAUUGUUUUUCGGAUUAGGAUGGACAAACGUUGUUUACUACAGCCCCAGUGAAGUGAGACAAGUGGCCUCUGGAUUCUAUAGUGCAAAUGGAAUCGCCAUGUCAACUGAUAAAACGUAAUGUAUAUCUAUCUCCUUUUUAUUCAACCAUUUGGAAGGGGGAGCUGUGUAUGGCAGACCAGAGACUACCCAGUUAUGUCAAGGUGUUUUUUGUUUUUUUUCUAAAAACACCUUAGACACAACUGGGUAAUCUCUAAACCCUGGCCUGUUAGGCGUGCGUUGAGGACUGGUUUGGAAAGCACUGGUCUAAACCAAUAUUGUAUGGAACAAAUAUCCUAUCUGGCAUAUAUAAAUACUAUUCUUAAAAGCAGCAAUAGAUAUGCUGCAAGAAGAAAUGAUGCAGGCUAAAUCACAGUCGUAGAGGGUAUACAUCAUUAUAAGUCCUGUAUUAAAAGUUCUGAAAAAAGUGUUAAGGUUACAAAAAUGUCUCAUAAUAAUGAACCAGAAACUGUCCCAUGCCGAAGAAUAGUUUAUGUUCUCCUUUUCAAAACUUUUCCUGUCUACAAUGACAUGUAGUGCUUAAAAGGGUAUGGCCUGUCUCAAUUUUGAGCCGGCAUCCUUAUCCCUUAUUCCCCAUAUCCAGAUACACUGUUUGCUACGGGGUAAGAGCAAGGAGGAAAUUGACAUCAGCAGGAUAUCACAACACUUUACUGAUAAAUAAAAUAUAAGUAAAAGUCAGUCAUGUGCUGUAGAAUAAUAAGCUUAUCAGUGCUCAGCCUCUAUGCAGUCCGUUCAAAGUUCCCACAGAGACGCUAGUGUCGGCAGUGUCUAAGAUUACUUGGUCUCGACAGCUGCUAAGACUACUCGUGCUGAGUUUAUUUUAUAAUAUUUGGAAUAUUUACUAAAGAACAAAGCUACCAUCACGCAUUAAACCUUUCAAGAAUAAUAGUACAUUUGACAGUCAUCUGAGUAAUUAGAAUUAGUACUUUAAAACUUUUUUAUUCAAAUAAAGUAUUGGAUGAGGCAUGAAUUUCACUCAUCCGUUUGAAAACAAAGUGGUGGAAUACAUUCAAAGUAGUCCCAAGAGAGUUUUUCACAAUUGGAUAAAAUAAAUGUGGACAGCCACUAACAUUUAAUAGAGCUUCAGGCUAGCUCGGGAAUUCAGGCUUGGGUAGAACAGUUCCCACCUUAGGGUAUGUGUAAGUGCACUUUUUAACGGAUAUGGGUUCUUAACUAAAUAUUUGAAUAGAAUAUGGAACAAAUGAAAGGAUUCAUAGAAUGUGUAGUACACAAAAAAUGUAGGGAUCUGUGUGUGUGUACAAAAAUGUGAUUCUUUGUUGAACUAAUUUGCAUAUGCCCAUCCAGAAUCCCUUGCAGUAGUAACAUCACUGCAAAUUUGACAUUUCAGGUGGAAAAGCAAGUCUUAUGGCUCAAUUUGUGUGCAGAUCUGUGUUUAACAAUGUAUUGACUAUCAACUGACUUCAGGUGGAUUGGGUUUUCAAUCACUUUUUUCCCCACCAAAACGUUCCUGGUUUGUACUCCGCAAGUAACACCAAGCCCCACUAGCAAGUCAGUAACCAACCUCAUGUCAAUGAGUUGCAUUAACAACGAAACAGCUGUCCAUGAGUGGUUCACUGGCUUUGCAUCUAUUGAGUUAUGUUUCAAAGCUGUUGUAUACAACAAACAUAAAAUCCAAGGAAUCCAUGUGUAAAAUUAAAUAAUGAGGCAAAAAGGUGUUUCUUGGUUGAACCAAUUUGCAAAUGCCCACACAGAAUCCCUUGCAGUAGUAAAAUCACUGCUAACUUGAGAUAUCCGUGGGAAAAGCAAAUCUUAUGGCUUGACUAGUGUGCAGAUCUGUGUUUAACAGUGUAUUGACUAAUAUAUAUAAUCAAAAUUCCAAAUGCCAGCACAUGAAAAUAAUGUUCAUCAAGAUGUUUUCCGUAGUAUCAUGUAAGGUAAAACACAAGAAUAGAAUUCUCUGUAGGUACAACCCCUUUACCGUUCUCCAAAUUCAUCCCCCAUUGCUAUGUUCUUUUAAUGGAACACUAUAGCGUUAGGAAUACAAAUGUGUAUUCCUAACGCUAUAGAGCCCUAGUCACCGAUUCCACAGCGAAUAAAUGGUUAAUUAACCAUUUAUUUGCUUACCUUAAUCCAGCGCCGGGCACUCCUCUCGGCACUGGUGACCUUUCCUCCUCCAAUGACUUCAGCUUCCGAGUGGAGCCGAAUGCGCAUGCACAGCCAGAGGUGCGUGGGGAUCUUUUUUGACACUGGACUCCGCGAGGACGUCCAGCAUCAAAUCAGUGCAAUUUACUCCCUGUAAAUUGCGGAAUCGCCUCUAGUGGCUGUCAGGGAGACAGCCACUAGAGGCUGGAUUAACCCUGUGAUGUAAACAUAGCAAUUUCCCUGAAACUGUUAUGUUUUCAGCUGCAGGGUUAAAACAAGGGCGACCUGGCACCCAAACCACUUCAUUGAGCUGAAGUGGUCUGGGUGCCUAUGGUGGUCCUUUAAUGCACCCCUGAUGCCAUGUCCUUAUCCCUUAAGGACCAAACUUCUGGAAUAAAAGGGAAUCAUGACAUGUCAUACAUGUCAUGUGUCCUUAAGGGGUUAAUUCCAUUUCCCUCACUUCUCCAUUCUCAGCCAUAAUUCAACCAAUUCAUGGCCCUCGUAAUCUUAUUUUUUUUAUCCAUGGCAAUACGCAUCUUCUGGCACAGCUGAACUGAGACCAUACAAUAGGUAUUGAACAUUAGAAUAUCCCGUUACAGGAAGUGUUUAUGGAAGGCUGUGCAAGUCACAUGCAGGGAGGUGUGACUAGGGUUCAUAAACAAAGGGAUUUAACUCCUAAAUGGCAGAGGAUUGAGCAGUGAGGCUGCAGGGGCAUGUUCUAUACACCAAAACUGCUUCAUUAAGCUAAGGUAGUUCAGGUGACUAUAGUGUCCCUUUAAGUACGAGAUCAAAUGUUUCCCAAUGUUUCUAUACAUUCCCAGAGAUGGCAUUCAUAUCCCAAAAUACAUACUUCAUCUUUAUGUACUGUUUAUAUUGCACUUUUUAUUUAGCUGGAAAAACGCAUUUAUAUUUUCCCAUUUUUUUUAGGUGUAUGACUUGUGGAGAUUCUAGACUCUAAUUCUCUUUUUGUCCUUUGUACUCCCCUAAAGGUUCAUUUACGUUGCUGAUAUAUUUGCUCAUACGCUUAAUGUUUUGGAAAAACAUGCAGACUGGUCCCUGUCUCCAGUGAAGGUGAUAUGUUUUACAUUACUAAAAUUUUCAAGCUUAGUGAUAAGCAGUUAUGGCUUCUAUAGUGCUUUUCCAUGUCAACCUUCUUUUAUUUUACAAAAUGUAAUCUCUAAUAUAGUCCACAAAUAAUGUAAGAUUUAUCUUCAUUUGCACUGAAUUCUCACAUAGACAGGAAGAGAGAUGUUGUACCAAAUGUAGUAAGCCCUCUUUUUAAGAAUCUACUGUGCGUCACCCAGAUGAUUUUAGGAACUACAAGAUUUAUUGAAUAAACCUGGAAUCCACUGGCGGAUCCGGGGGGGGGGGCAACGGGGCAAUUGCCCCCCCCGAGAAAUCCGCCGGUCUCCCUCCCCUGCCAGCACAUGCAGGUGCUAGCCCUGCAAUGUGCCUGCGGACCGGAGGGGAGAUCAGAGAUCUCCCUCCCCGGUCCGCAGGCACUGUGCUGACAGCCGGCAGGGGAGGGAGAGGGAGGACCCGGGAGCUCAGUCUGCAGCUCCUCCGGGUCCUCCUCUCGCGAGAUUUUGGACCACGGCAACGCUCCAAAUCUCGCGAGAGUGAACUCUAGCCCGGGAGCGCGGGCUAGAGUUCACUGUAACCACUGGGACCACCAGGGAAUCACCACUGGGACCACCAGGGAUGAAAAUAUGUCCCCCCUCCUCCUCAAUAAAGGUAAGAAGGGAGGGGGGACAUAGAAUAUUUGUUUUUUUUAAUUAAAUAAAGAUAUAUAUUAUAAAAAAAAGCCCCCCCCUACCCUUACACACACACACACACACACACAUAGCCCCCAUACUGCCCCCCCCAUACACAUGCUGCCCCCCCCCCCCGGUCUCGGGAGGGGGGGGGGACUCUGCUGGCCGACCCAAAAUAUUUAAAGGCACAGUAAGGGCUAUAGAAAGCCCAGAGAAUCCCUAUAGAAAGCCCAGAGAAUGGAAAUAGGGGCUGAAGUGCUCCAAAUAAGUACUUUCUCUGCACUACCACAGAGAAUACAUCAUGAUGCCACAACAAAGAUGGCUGCCAGCCCAGAUAUUGUAUAUUCCACUCCCAAGAUGGCCACUGCCACCUCCAAUAUGGCUACUACCACAUUUAAAGCAGCGACCUACAAUCCUAAUAUGCCACCUGAAUUGGCAGAAGACCUGCCACCAUAAGCUGGCAUGAUAAUUCAACUCAUCAAAGAUUUGAGAGUUGAUUUGAAAAACGACUUUAAAAAAGACUUUGACGCAUUAUAUGGUGCCAUUGAGGGCAUUAACCAGCGUACGGAAAUAAUAGAGAAUAGAUUGCACUCUCAAGAGCAAUCUCACCUGGAUCUGGUUGAAACCGUAAAAGAGCUCCAAAAGCAAGUGCACCAACAAGCAGAAAAGUUAGCCGACGCUGAGGAUAGAAGUAGGUGUAAUAACUUAAGGAUCAGGGGGAUCCCUGAUAAUAUCGAUUCUCAGGAAUUACAAAGCUAUUUCCAGACAAUGGUGAAGUCAGCUCUACCAAACGUAAAAAAUACGGAUUUAUUACUGGACUGCAUCCAUAGAUUGCCCAAACCCGGCAAUGCACCUGUGGCUGCACCCAAAGAUGUGAUAGUGAGAUUCCACUACUACCACAUUAAAGAGGAAUUUCUUGGUGCAGUACGCACUUCAGGUCUCACAGGAGAUUACAGCGGCAUGAAGGUCUUCCAAGACUUCUCUGCUCAAACAAUGAAGCGACGCAGGGAAUUUAAACUUUUCACUGCGGAGCUAAGACGAAGAGGGAUAAGAUAUAGAUGAGGAUUCCCGGUUAAAGUCCUUUUCCGUAUGGAUGGUCAGAAUUUCAUAAUCACGUCGCCUGAGGAAGGAAUGGAACUCAUCAAUUCCAUGAAUAGACGUCAGGUUUCGCCUCAUAGACUCUCGCCAUCUACUCCUAUGCAGGCCAGCAAGAGAAGUAAAUCGGACACUUCCUGAGAUCCCAGCUCAAAGAGCUACAGUCUUCCUUUUCCACAGUCCUUAUCGAGUCCUGCUCCAGUCCGGUGAUUUAUCGGGAUUACUUUGAAUUUUGACUUGUUUCUCCUUUUUAGGACAGACUUUUGAGUUUUCCCACCAACGGUUAUUUGACCUGUGCCUUUAUGGUUUAUUUCAGAAAUCGAUUCGAUUACUUAAAACUUUCUAAAUUUAUACAAUCAAAAUUAUUUUUUAUAUAAUUUCAUAUUUAUUUAAUUUUAUUAUUUUUUAUUGUUCUGUGCUUUUUGUCCUUUCAAAUGUCAUAUUUAAAAAGUUGCUUUUUGUUUUUUACUAUUUAUAUUGGCUCCCCUUGUACCCAGUAGCCUUCUCUCCCCCCAACCUGGGCCUAACACCCUGAGAUGGAGAAACUUUUUUUGUUCUCCCUCAUGGCCCUCUUUCACUGUUUUUGUUUCACCCCUGAUAGGGGUAUAUACCCAAGUUUUUUGUUCCCCUUCUUUAUUUUUCUAUAUUUUUUGUCCAUCCAUUACUUAAAGUUCGGUAGAAACGUUUCUAGACCACGAAACACUGCAAUGCUUCAUACAAAAAUGCAUACUACGUGGCAUCAGCAACUUGUAAAAAUCUGUUUAUUCACUAUUCCUGUACACACAAGUACACAGCUUGAGUUUGCUUUGACAGUUUUUUGGACUUGCAUGUUUCUCUCUUGGAAGGCGGUUGCUUGGACUCUCACAAAAUUGAAUGUUCUUUUACCCUUUACCAGAUAUUACUGUUCCAUAAACCAUGGUUUUAAAAUAUAUGUCAUUUAAUGUGAGAGGCCUGAACACCGCCCACAAGAGACGAUUAUUAUUCAAAGUAGCAAAAUCCAACAAAUCAGAUGUAAUCUGUGUACAGGAAACGCAUUUUAAAGAUGAUAAAGACCAUAAAAUUAUGGCAAAGCUUUUCCCAGUCCAAUACCAUUGCACUUAUAAAUCCAAGUCUAGAGGUACAUCAAUUUUCUUUCACAGGAAUGUAGCAUGUUUGACAAACAAAGUAAUAACGGAUGAUGACGGGAGGUAUUUAAUAUGGAUAGGAUCACUCAAUACUAUUGAAUAUACUAUUGUGAACAUGUAUUUUCCAAACACCGGUCAGUUGCAGUUUUUUAGGAAAUUGAUGGACUUAGUGAAUGAGAAUGUGAGAGGCAGCUUGGUAAUGUGUGGUGACACAAAUUUUGUUAUGGAUGGAGAAUUGGAUAACGCUAGGGAAGAACGUGAUCAACAGCUUAGAGGGGACAGUGACCGAUUAGCGUAUAAAUGCUCCAGAUACAUGAUUGAAUGUGGCUUAUACGACCCUUGGAGACUGAUGUAUGAAAAUGAAAGAGAUUUUACGUAUUAUUCUGUCUCUAAAAAUAUGUAUUCCAGGCUGGACCGGUUUAUGGUCCAGGGUGCUUUAAUCCCACACAUCUUGAAAUCUGAUAUCUUAAACAUCAACUGGUCCGACCAUGCUCCAAUCAUAAUGCAUAUUGACGAAAUUGUUUCAUCAGCCCCUAACAGAACCUGGAAAUUAGGCGAUUGUUUGUUAAAUGGUGUUGUGAACAGGUCACUGACGGAGAAAGCUUUGUGUGAUUAUUUUUCGGAGAAUGCCUCGCCCGAGGUUCCUGGCGAGGUGACUUGGAAUACGCAUAAGGCUGUGUUAAGAGGUCAUUUUAUUUCUAGAGCGUCUCAUCUGAAGAGAAUUAAUAGCAAUAAUUUAAGAACAUUGGAAAAAGAAUUGUACAAUUUGAACCAGGCUAAUAAAUUUGGUCCAUCGUCCUCUCUAUCAGCAAUGAUAGGAGAAAUUAAGGCUAAAAUUAACAAAAUUAAUUUAGAUCGUACAUCUCUCAUGGUGAGACGUCUCAGGAAAACAUUUUACUUAAAAGGCAACAGGGCCUCAACUCUUUUUGCAUCCAAACUCCGGCAUGUGAAUGCCCAAUCAAAAAUAGCAUAUUUACUUGAUGAUCAGGGGCGAAAAGUGUUUCAUCCAACUAAAAUUAGUGAUAUGUUUGCAGAGUAUUAUAGUAAACUUUAUAACUUAGAAUGUAAUUUGGACCUCCCCCAGCCUUCUACAACAAUAAUUGAUAAAUUAUUAGACAGAGUGUCAUUGCCUCGGCUGUCUCCAGGACAUUUAGAAAGCUUAGAAUGUGAAAUAUCAGCAGUAGAGAUAGCUGAGGCAAUCAAACUUAUGCCAUCUGGAAAAGCCCCUUGUCCCGACGGAUUCACUAUUUUAAAUUAUAAAACUUUUCCAGAAAUUUUAAUUCCCCAUAUGACUAAAAUGUUCAAUUCCUAUAAGUCCGGGGGAAAGAUGCCAGAGGAGUCCUUGUGCGCACGAAUAGUCACUUUGCCAAAGCCAGGAAAAACUCCCGAUAGAUGCCCUAACUUUAGGCCCAUUUCUCUGAUUAAUAAUGAUUCAAAGAUUUAUUCUAAAGUUCUCGCUAAUAGAUUAACCAAACUAAUCCCAUUGCUAAUUAAUAAGGAUCAAGUGGGUUUUGUAAAGAAUAGACACGUGCCAGACGGAACUAGAAGAUUCAUAAACUUGAUUCAGCACAUCAAUAUGACCAAAACGCCUUCUUUGCUUCUAUCUCUAGACGCAGAGAAGGUGUUUGACAGGAUACAUUGGGGAUAUUUAUGGAGAACAUUAGACAGGUUCAACAUACCAUCAUCCUUUAUCACAGCAAUUAAGGCGUUAUAUUGUGCACCCUCCGCCCAUGUCUCAGCUUCUGGCUUCACAUCCAAAACUUUCUCUCUAACCAACGGGACGAGACAGGGGUGCCCUUUAUCUCCAAUUUUGUUUGUCUUAGCGAUAGAACUGAUUAGAACGACCCCACAAAUUGUAGGAAUUGCUAUUAAAGAAUCCGUUCACAAAACUGGCCUGUUUGCAGACGAUAUAAUCCUAGCUGUCAAAAACCCAAAGGAAUCUUUGAGACACCUCAAGGAUAUUUUAACUCAAUUUGGUGAGAUAUCGUACUACAAAUUAAAUGAGUCCAAAACUCAAGCCCUCCCGUUUCAUUUAAACAAUUUGGAAACCAUUGCCCUUAAGAAAUCAUAUUUAUUUGAUUUGAGAACUGAAUAUAUGGAAUAUCUUGGCAUUAAUUUAUGCAAAAAUUUGGUCAAUAUGCACAAUCACAACUUGAGGAAAGCAUGGUCAGACUUGCAAAAAGAGAUGGAGAGAUGGGGCGGGAGGAGCUCUCAUGGCUGGGGAGGGUCGUAUCUAUUAAAAUGACGAUACUCCCCCAAAUUUUAUAUUUUUUUAGGACCAUUCCUCUCUCCAUUCCAUUAUCAUUUUUUAAUAAAGUUCACUCGACAAUGUUGAAAUUUAUCUGGGGGAACAAGCCUGCCCGAGUUCAGCUCACUUCCCGGCAGCACCAUAAAUCGAAUGGCGGUAUCGGUGUCCCCGAGAUCCGCAAAUAUUAUUUCGCCACUAACGCUGCAGUGGUUGUGAGCUUUAACAACCAGGAUGAUAAACCCAGAUGGAUGGAAAUAGAAGAAUCGAAAAUUUUACCGGUUAGAUUAUCAGAAUUACCUUGGUUAAAUUCUAAGAAAAGACCUGGAAUUACAAAAUUAUUUUUAUCUACCAAGACUACGCUCAAGGCCUGGGACAUUGUUUUUAAAAAUGACCAGUCUCCCAGUUUAUAUAGAGCAAUGCCUAUUGAGUUAUUGAAAGAUUAUAUACCAUCCUUAAAAAUAGAAUUGUUGAAGGAUUGCUCUAUAACUAAUCUGGACAAUUUUUUUUAUGGCAAUGCUAUUCUUUCUUUGGAAAAAUUGAAGCUUAAGUAUGGGUUGUCAAAUGUAUGUGAACUGGAAUGUAUGCUAAUCAUUGACAAAUUGAAAGAACUAUACCAGGUACCUGAAACAGAUAAAAACUAUAAAUCACUUGAGUUAUCUCCUUUAGAGAAAGUUUUUUUAUACAGCCCGCUAGUAAAGGUAUGAUAUCCUUAUGCUAUUUAUCUCAUAAUGCCAAGCCCUUAAUUAAAUUAAAACAUAUGCUGUCAUGGGAGACGGAGUUGGGUGCCCAGUACGAUUUAGAAGAAUGGUUUGUUUUUUUUAAAGGUUUAAAAGGUAUUUCGUAUUGCACCGACCAUUUUGAAAAUCAUUAUAAAAUCUUAUAUCGCUGGUACCUGGCUCCGUCUAGAUUGCAUAACAUGAACAAUAUGUAUUCUGACCGGUGUUGGAGAGACUGUGGGGGAGUAGGCAAUAUGGCCCAUAUCUGGUGGUUCUGCCCCAAGUUAAUUAAUUAUUGGAAAAUGAUUCAUGAUCUAAUUAUUAAAGUGAACAGAACCAUUAGCAUCUUAACUUCGGAACUAGCCUUAUUUAAAAAACUCCCGGAGUCCGUUAAUAGUUCAGAUAAAAUAAUCAUAGGCCACAUUCUGAUCGCUGCUACAUCCUGUUUACCUAGACAUUGGAAGUCCCAAAAUGUGCCAUCUCUCAGAGUUUUUAAUUUGAUUCUAGAAAACAAGGCACAUGAAUUAUCACAUAGAGCCAAUAUGCAUGGUUUCCCAAUACUAAAAUAUAAUUGGGAUAAAUGGGAAGAAAAAAUCAAAAUAGUUUAUGGUCUUUGAUAUAUUUAUUGUUAAAGUGCACUGAUGUACAAUUUUUUUUUGCCAUAUACAUUAUGUUUAUUUCAAUGAUGGAUGGACACCCCCUCCCAUUUCCAAGUUACCCUUCCUUUCCUACCCCUAAUACAAUGUUUGUAUUAUUAUCACUUGUUAUACAAAUUUUUUUAAAACUUUAAUAAAAUUAUUUGAAAAGAAACAUAUUUAAUGUAAUAGAAGUAGGCUUCAGCAUGUGCUAUAAUGACUGUGUCAGCAGCAUUUGAGAGUUUCCACCUAUUUUUUAGGUAUAUACUUGUAUACUUAGUAUUUUGGGAGAAAUUAUUAUAUAUUAGUUAAUUAUAAAAUAUCCUUAUUAUCUAAGGUGGUUCCUUGCUUUUGGUAAUUCCUGACCUUUGAGUAUUUCCGGAGAUUAAUCAAAGUGAUCUGAUCUGAAAAGUGAGGCAAAUUUAAUGGAAAUCACUCGAACACGCAGUCAUAUUCCAUCGGUGAUUCCUCCCAUUUUUAUUUUCGCACCAUCUUUUAGAAGAGUAAACUUUUUAAUGUCAAUUUAUUUAUUUUUUUUUUUUUUUUAAUUCUUUAUUUUGGUCAUGCAUAGAUAAACAGGGAGCCUUGCAUUGCCACAACAGCUGAUGCAGACAGUUCAGUAAACAUAGAGAAACAGUGGCAUGGCAUACGACGUUGCACAUUUUUGUGAUAUAGUUAAGAAAACAUGAGAAAAGAAACAAGCUCUCUGUACAGUUUUACGGUAACAUCAUGCUAGGCUAACGUGACUAGGAGGUCGUCCCACCGGAGAUAUACUAGCUUAAUAUCAGUGUCUAGACAGGUAAAGGUAUAAAAUUUAAGCUCAGCGUUGGGUUAGAUAUAUCCAGCAAGACAAGGAGCAGGUAGUUAACUAGGAAACAGUGAAGUCUGCUAGACUUGUAAGAGGCACGAGAGAGAGCGUGGGGUGCAUGUUUAAGUCUUAGAAAAACAACAAUUCAAUGAAAUAACAGCAAGCUUAAUCAUGUAGGUAAAUAGCUUGUCAGGGUUAAGCUGCGCUUUUUCUUUAAGUACACAGUAUAAUGCCAUUAACUACAAGUAAUCAAAAAAGGUAAUUUUCUUUGCUUGUAUGUCAUGAGUUUUACUCUCAUAGGUGCUUAGUAGAGGAGAACCGAGUAACACAUAACAGUAUGCUGGAUGCUUUAAGACAUGAUAUACGUGAGAGUAGUACCACUUAGGUGUAUUGUAUAAAUGUGGCAGGGCAGUAGUUUAUUAUGCAUGCCUAACUAAUCAUGCUUAAGACCAAGCUGGGUGCGUUUGGGGGAACAGAUGUGUGGCCUGAGUGUAGUGUGCCUGGUUAAGAAUGACAAAGUAACGUAAAGUAAAGUCCGGCAUGCGGGCGGUCAGGCUGAGCUGCAAGCAUGGUAGAUUUGUUGUCAGCAUGUCGCAGCACGGCAUUUCUGAGGCCCUGUAGCUCCGGGUUGUGAGGGGGGCCCUUGCCCUUGGUCCGUAGGUCUUCUUUCUCCGGUCGGCAGGGUCGUGGCUCUUUCUAGGCAUUGUGGUGGUGGUCGCCCGGAGGAGAGGGGUCGUGUGCGGUGGGGGGCCUCUCCCCCGCUCCAGACCAUGCUUGGGGUCGUCACCAUGUGAAGAGAAAACUUUUUGAUCUCUCCCACUCGGUAUAUAUUUGAUUGUGUGUGCAAGUGUUUUUCAGAACACAAGACGCACCUGAGUAUAAAACACCCAUACAUUUUAACUAGGAAUUUAGAAGAAAAAUAAAUAUAACAACCAGUACAAUAAUUACAGUAAACUAAAGCUUGUGUGUCUGUGGGGCUCUGAAGUGUGUUUAAGGUAUUCAUGUGACUGUGAACAUGUGGAGUGAGAUUGGAGCUGUGUUUUGGGGAGUGGUGUGAGAGGGGAGUGGUUUUACAUAUAUUUAUUAUAGUUAUUUGUUUUCUUUAAGGUUAUCCCCCCUCCCUGCUUCGUACAUUGGGCAAGGGAGUGGGGGCAGUACAAUCACCAGUGGUCCAGUUAGGUUCCAAAAAUAUUUUAUUUUGGCUGUUUACUCAAAUAAAUUCAAGUUACAGUAAAAUAAUGAAUAUGGGCUUAGAGUGCAGUCUUUCAGCUUUAAUUUGAGAGUCCAUAGGACAGCUCUGAGUGAUACAUUUUUUUUAGACCUGCACAACUUGGCAAUAGAUCGUGGCCAAAAUUAAAUAUGCUAAGCUUCUUCGGGCCGCAGAUAUGUUUUUAGCGCCUAACACACACAUUGACAGACAUACAGAUACACACAGACAUACAGAUACACAUACAGGCAGGCAAACAGACAGACAUAGAGAUACACAACACACCCUGACAGCCAUACAGAUACAUACUGACAGACAUACAUACAUAUACACACUAACAGGCAUAAAGAUACACAUACUGACAGACAUACAGAUACACACUGACAUACAUACAGAUACACACAAACUGACAUAAAGAUACACACAUAUACUGACAAACAUACAGAUACACAUGCUGACAGACGCACAGAUACACAGAUACACACACACACACUGAGAGACAUACAGGUCAAAAUAUACACUUGUAUAGCCAUCCUCCAGGAGGGUGGCUUUCUUUGUGUCCAGUCUGCAGGCUGAGGAUGUUGGGAGUUGUGGGCUGAUUCUGCAACACAAAAAGUCCUAGACGUCCAUGGAAAAAAAAUGAUCGUAGGAUCCUUUCCAUGGUAACCUUCACAACAUCCAGCCAAGUAAAGAACACGCUCCAAUAGGUAGGUAUAUCAUUAUCCAAAUCUACCACAAAGAGAAGACUUCUUGAGAGCAAAUACAAAGGGUUCACCAAAGGUGCAAACCAUUCAUAAGCCUCAAGAAUAGAAAGGCCAGAUUACAUUUUGCCAAAAAUAUCUAAAAAAAAAACCAGCCCAGUACUGGAACAGGAUUCUUUGGACAGAUGAAACUAACAUAAACCUUUAGCAGAAUGAUGGGAAGAAAAAAGUAUGGAGAAGGCUUGGAUCCGAAGCAUACCACAUUAUCUGUAUAACACAGUAGAGGCAUUGUGGUGGCAUGGGCAUGCGUGGCUUCCAAUGGAACUGGGUCACUAGUGCCUAUUGAUGAUGUGACAUAAGCAGCCAGAUUCAUUCUGAAGUGUAUAGGAAUAUAUUGUCUGCUCAGAUUCAGCCAAAUUAAGCGAAGUUGAUUGGAUGGCGCUUCACUUUACAGAUGGACAAUGACUCAAAACAUACCGCGAAAGCAACCCAGGAGUUUAAGGCAGAGAAGUGGAAUAAUCUGCUGUGGCCGAGUCAAUCACCUGAUCUCAACCAAAUCGAGCUUGCAUUUCAUUUGCAGAAGACAAAACUUAAAGGGACACUGUAGAGACCCAGACCACUUCAGCUCAUUGAAGUGGUCUGGGUGCAAACUCCCAGCACCCUUAACCCUGAGCAUGUAAUUAUUGCAAUUUUUAUAAACUGCAAUAAUUACCUGCUAGGGUUAACUCCUCCUCUGGUGACUGUCUACCAGACAUCCACUAGAGGGACUUCUGGGCAUGAAGGCGACUUUUGGUCAGCUAAACAACGCUGGACGUCCUCACGCUAUGAAUGAGGACUUCCAGCGUCACCGGAAUCCCCAUAGGAAAGGAUUAAAUAAUGUUUUCUUAUGGGGAAAUCCUAUUGCUAGCGUGGCCCAUCGACACUGGACCCAGGUGAGUGACAAAAGGGCUUAUUAACCUGGUGGGCCUUGACAAAGGGGGAAGCUAGAGUGCCAGGAAAACAAGUUUGUUCUCCUGGCACUAUAGUUUGCCUUUAAGGCUGAAAGACCCACGAACAAACAACAACUGAAGUCAGCUACAGUAAAGGCCUGGCAAAGUAUCACAAAGGAGGAAACCCAGCAUUUGUUGAUGUCCAUGUGUUCCAGACCUCAAGCUGUCAUUGCCUGCAAAGUAUUUUCGACACAGUAUUAAAAAGUAAAAAAAAAUUAUGAUUGUGUUAAUUUGUCCAAUUACAUUUGAGCCCCUGAAAUAAGGGAACUGUGUAUGAAAAUGGUUGCUAUUCCUAAACAUUUCAUGAUAUUUUUGUUCAUCACCUCGAAUUAAAACUGAAAGUCUGCACUUGGAUCCCAGUUGUUUCAUUUCAAAUCCAUUAUGGUGGCAUACAGAGCCCAAAUUAUGAAAAUCGUGUCCAAAUAUUUCCCGAACUAACUGUAUAUACACAGACUGGUAAUACAGGACACAAGCAAUAUUUAACCCCAAACAUUGGGGUAAAAACAUACAUACGUCCUCUAUUCUGAAAAAUACAAUAUGCACACACAGACAUGUGAUUUUAUAUAUGUUCACUAUGCCACUUACCAUUUUAAUGGCCAUCACUUUCAGUAAUUGUUUUGGAAGUUUUCUGACUUUCUAGAAGAAUCAUGUCUAUGAGCUUUUAGCUAUAAUGCCGGAUUUAAUUAAAUUAGCGGUUUUAUUCGGAAGGGCUGUAGACUUGUUUUUAAUAAUCUUUUAUUUUACUUUAUCUUUAUGUUAGGUUGUGCAGCUAGAUAUACUUUUGGACAACCUCGUUGUAGACCCAAAUACAGGGGAUAUUUGGACAGCGGGGAUUCCGAAUGCCAGAAAAAUAGCAUUUUAUAAUUCUGAUAAUCUACCUGGAUCUGAGGUUAGUGUAUACAAUGUAAUGUGGAUUUUUUUGUUCUGUUAUAGAGCAUGCUCGAUGAACCUUUUUAACAUUCACACACUAAAUUGUUGUUUAGCAUUCUUCCUUGAACUGAAACUGCAAUACUACAAUUAUCUUAAUCUGUGUUUGGUACGUGGAUGAUACACAGUUUUAACUUAUUUACUGUAGUGUAAAGAUUUAUUAAAGUUAUUUUUAAUCUCAUGCUGUUAUACACUCAAUACCAGAAUUUCUAAGCAUCUAGAAAAGGACUCCAGAGAAGGAGAAACAUGGGCAACGGGCAGGUCCCACAAAUCAAUAUCUUUCUGUCUAUCCACACUAUAUGGCAAAAAUAUAUGGACACACCAAGUCAUUGAAUCAGGUGUUCCAGCUUUAUCCAUUGCUAACAGCUCCAUAUAAUCCAGCAUAUAGCCAUGAAAUCAACGUAGACAAACUUUACAGGGGUCAUACUGAAGAGAUCAAUGACUGUAAACAUGCUACAUGCUAAUACAUCAGUUUGUGAAAUUUCUACCCUACUAGAUCUGCCCUGGUCAACUAUAAGAGAAUUUAUUUUGAUGUGGAACCAUGGAGAAGCAACGACAACCUAGCAAUAAAGUGUAGACCAUGCAUGCUCCCAAAUUAGCGAUGCUGAGUGUAGUAUGUAGUGCGUAAAGCUCUCCAUCUGUUGUUGGUGUAGCAGAGACAAUGGUCUGGGGAUGUGUUUUAGGGUUUUACCAGUGAAGGUUUAUUUAAAUGCUAAAGGAUACAUUUUAGAAAAUUUGGUGGCAACAGGGGGUAUGUCUGUGCCACUGUGCACAAAGCGAGGUCCAUGAAGACAUGGUUUAAUGAGUUUGGUCUGGAAGAACUGGACUGACCUGCAAAGAGCCCUGACCUCUGUCUCACUGAACACUUUUAGAAUGAAUUGGAAUGCCUAUCAUGAACCAGACCUAAUCACAAAUGUUUUUUUCUUGCUGAAUGGCUAAAAUAACCACAGACACAAUCCAAAAUUUUGUGGGAAAACAUUACCAAAAGAGUGGCAACUGUUAUAGCCGAAAAGGCAGGUGGAUAGCUCCAUAUUAAUAACCAUGGUUUUGGAAUGACAUGUCCUACAAACUCAUGUGUAAUGCUCACCAUAAUGUUUGGCCAUAUAAAAUCAACGAAAUUCCAACCUUUACUUACAUAAUGUGGGGAUAUUUAUGGGAUAAUAAUAGUAAACAGUGAGAAUUGCCCACUAAUUCAAUUCUCAGAUCCAAAGAUCGUUAUCAUAAGUGAAAAGUAUUUCAUAUAAAUAAAAUCACAAUUUUGUUAUAAAAAUAGAUUUUAUUUUAUAAUAACAAAUUAAUUAAUAAUAAUAAUAUGUAAUAUGCGUGACAAUAAUCAAUGAAUAUCCAGUAUAAAAUGAUAUGCAAUACAAUGGAAUGGGUAUACACAUUUCAAUGGCUAAACAGCAUUUUCUGUCAAGGCUUACACGAUUUAUGAGGUAUCCUUACACAGAGAGAAAGCGAAGCUUUUCACAGCGAAGGGCCAUAAAACCCUGGCUAACAGUUAGAAUAACCCUUUCAAUGCUGACUAGACCUCCUAGGUAAUUAAGAUCUAUUCUUAUGUAAUUUUAAAUAAAAUAACAUUUAAACCAGUUCAUUAGUCAUUUCCUGGAACCAUCCAAUAAGAGAAUCUACCAUAUUUUAUAAGCAGAAUUGAAUUCGCCUAAAAAUAUAUCUUAUCUUAUAUUAGAGCAAGUCAAUACACCUGGAUAAAAACAGCGGUAAGCUAACACGUGAUACCAUCACAUUAAUAUAUAAUUAUUCUUAAUUCCACCUGCAGAAUGGAAUGUUUAUAACUAUAUAUUCUUUAGUUAACUAAGAUUUCUUAAUAUGCAAAUCUGACCGUGAUUUAUCCAGUCAUAUAUCAUGCUAUUAGUACAUUUUAAUUAAUUUUAAUUAAUUAACUGGAACCAGUAUAAUUACCAGUUGAGUAGAUAUUUCCUCAGAUUGGUAGGUAGUCUCAGGAACUUGUUUGGAUGUCUCUCUGCAUGGAGGUGUGUAGGAAUUUCUGAGUGUCCUAGAGUGGAUAUCUGUCAUAGGCCUCUCUGCAUUGCUUCCGACUGCUCACUUCUUUGCUUUCUUUGCAUACCCUUGCAUUCCUCAUCUACCUUCCUUUUCUCAACCCUCCUGUCUUCCCUUUGUCCUAACUUUUAAAGGGCCAGACUCUAUGUACGUCAUCAGUUGAUAACCCAAUAGAAGCACUAGAGGUGUGCUUACCUAGGGAUCGCAAUUUAGGUAUUUGGUCUAUAGAGGGCAGCCUUGUCCCACUAAACAUACCUAUCCAGGAAAGAGUUAACUUUUCUUGGUGGCUAUUUUGACAUCAUUUUGGCCUAUCUUUAUAGUGGCCAUAACUUACGUUUCCUUUCACUUCAAAGGGUUUCUUUAAGUUUUGUCCAGACUAUGUGUCUGGCAAAUUCUGAGUUUUGACCCGUAACUUACAAUGGGAUCUUGUACAUAUAGAAAGUAACAUUUUAUUAUUUAAUCUCCUCUAUCACAAAUGUCUGUGUUUAGAUAUGCAUCUAUUCCAUUAACAUUUUAGACGGUCUGUCCAACCCCCGUUCUCCUUAUCACUUGGUUUGUAUAUACUAUGCAUUCCUUUAGCUCUGGGAAAGUGGUUAGUUUUACAGAAAGGAUAGAAAUUUUGUGUCUCUUUGUUAAUUUGAAAAUAACAAAAUGGAGUCUGGUCUGUUCAGAGUGACUCAGAAUAUACACUUUUCAUUUCUAUCAUAGCACAAAAUGUCUGCCGAUAUAAAUACUCUGACAAUAAUAUUUCACGUUUUUUGGCAUUUUGUGUCUAAUGUCCCAAUGUAGAGGUGCUAGACUGAGUUUAAUGGUGAUAUCAUGGCAAAAUGCUCAUUUUUGUGGGUAUAUUCAGAGUUACAUGUCUCUCGUGUCAGGAUAUAUGGAGACUCACAGUUACCAUCUCCAUUCUCUCCUCCUUUAAUUUCGUACCUUCAUGGAGUAUCUGUUCAGUGUGAUAAGGCAUGGUGUUUAUCUGAAAUAUUUUUGUUGGUUUUUUUUUCUCUCUUUCCACUGAAGAAAAUUCUUUGAAUCCUGCAGGUAGUUUUAAUGUGUUAUCAUUACGUGUAAGAGGCUUGUUUUCAGCCCAUUCACAUCAAGAACCUAUUUCCCAGCUUUAAUACAGGUUUGAAGAAACCUGUUAAUGUAUAUUCAUUGGGCGAUGCUUAAAUCCUAAAAAAAGAUUAAUAAUAUUCUAGGGAAUUAUUACACAUCUGUACUAGACAGGCUUCAGAUCUUCAAAAGCUGGAUAAAACACCUUUCUCAGAUAUUCCAUUACAAUAGGUGAACUUGGUGUCUAACUAAUGUUUAAAUGUUUUCCCAUUGUAGGUUGUCCGUGUGCAGAACAUUCAUUCUGACAAUCCUAUAGUGACCCAAGUAUAUGUGAACAACGGCUCAGUGAUACAGGCGUCUUCCGUGGCCGCCGUCUACGAGGGGAAGCUUUUUGUGGGAACUGUAUUUCAUAAAGCUGUGUACUGUGAUCUCGAGUAAACACAUGCACAGUGUAUAAAAUCUUUCUCCAGAGCACUUAAGUUACAACCACUAUUUUCUGAACUGUUGUAUAAAUUGAUUACCUCCAGGAAAAAGUAACAGUGUGUGAGGUGUGCCAAACAAAAAAAGUGAAAUUAUACGUUAGUGCAGGCAAUGUAUUUAAUCAAAAACAUCUGACAUUUGUUUUGUUUUUAACAUUAUUGGUGUUAUUUAUUUUUUGUGUACACCAAUCUUUUUUUUUUCCUGUUACAAACACACAAUAAGAAAGCCUUUUCAUAAAUGUUUAUUAACAAAAGUAGAAACAAAAUCAGCCUCAUAUUUUUGUAUUUAUAAUAAUGCUUAUGGAUUUUCCACUGCAAUGACUUUCUAAUGAGUUGCCACCUGAAUACUGAUUAUUAUUAUCAUAAAACAUACAUUGAUUUGAUCCCUGCUCAUUAAAGAUCAGUAAGGGUUUCUGGCUGAGGCUCUCUGCUCUGGAUAGGUAAUUAAUUGGGUUGGUUCUGUCUUUACAAUGUCAUGCAGUGGAAUGUGUCUGCCUUGUUAUGACCAGGUUUUAGGGUUGGUAACCCGGCCCUGCGAAAGAAUACCAUCCAAUGCACCAGCAGUUGUAUUAGGAAGUGUUAACUUUGCCUUGGAAACAUGUACUGGAAUGUAACAAUCUCUUCUGAUAAAAUGGAACAAACCAAUGUUAAGAUGGCACAUGCUUUUUGGUCUUUUCAAUAAUAAUUUCAUUUUAUAACAAAACUCCCAUAUAGAUUUUUCCCUUUGUGCACUGUGCAUUAAAGGGCAGCAGCAAGGUAGACCUGGUUUAAAUCAAACAAAACAGUAUUUAGAGGAUGCAGCUGUAAGUCUACAAAAAAAAUAAGACAUGCCCAUAGCAUAAUAUAGUGGAUACGGAAGUGACACUGCGCUCAGGAAAAUUCACUCAGAAUGCACGGUGCGUAUUUCGCCUCUGGGUGCCUCCAUUUAGAUACUUGAAGGGAUUUUUCAUGUCCCCUUAGCUCCCGGCUGGAAUCUCCAUGACAAUAUUGGCAAGCAGGACUCAAGUUUCCAAAAUAAAUUCCUAUUUAUUUAUAUAAACAUAAAAUGGUUGGUCCUCCGCGAUUCGUUCAACUGUUGGACUUCCUCAGACACCCAAUUAUGUUAAAAGCAUAAAAUUAUAAAACAAUAAAAUCAAAACAAACCAACUAAUUUCAAAACACAAAAAGCAGAUAAUGCUACUUUAUCGGAUUUGAAAUUGUUUGACUUUGUUUUGAUUUUAUAUUUGAUUUAAGUCACAAGUCAGUAAGAUUUGAUUUACCGUAUAUACUCGAGUAUAAGCCGAGUUUUUCAGCACAUUUUUUGUGCUGAAAAACCCCAACUCGGCUUAUACUCGAGUCACUGUCUGUAUUAUGGCAAUUUACAUUGCCAUAAUACAGACUGGGGGCUGGCAGAGCUGUUACUUACCUCUCCUGCAGCUCCUGCCAGCUCCCUCCUCCUCCGCGCCGGUCCG